rnacentral:lncRNA from 1 species
NCACCCAAGCCCGGGACCGUCUGCGGACCUCCAAGUGGUCCGGACCUCCAAGUGGUCCUAGUCGCGCGACACUCCGGAGUACUCGACGACAAUCCCCUCCAUGUGGGGAUCGGAUGGCUAUGCCACCCUGAACGCAGACUGUGAGCUAGAUCUAUCCUCUUCAAGUGAGGACACUCUACAACUAGAGUCAAUACCCAAUCGAAUCCUCUCCAAGUGAGGACGCCCUACACAAGGGUCAACGACUAUCGCGGAAUCAUUGGUUCCCGACAUUCAUGCAAUGUUAUUUAGUUUUCUAAAUUCAUUGUUCACAAGGCAUUCUCUAAGGGAUCCACCUAUCCCUAGGUCCUUCGACCUCUAGUGUUAUUUACACUACGUUAAUGCCACUCGUUAUCAUUCAAUAUUUGGAUGCCACUCGUUUGUUCUUUGACAAUAACACUACUUUCUAUGUCAUCAAUACCCCCGUCGGGUUCAUCUCUAUCUUUAGCAUCAUAGGAUCCACGUUCCGACCCAAUCCUCACCUAUCUAGUUACCAAGCGUUCCAAGUACACUAGGUUAUCAUUUAGAAAGCAUAAGGAUGGAGCUACCAUGCAAUCCUACAAUGCAACAUGUAAGAGAUGAGAUUAAAUGCAAUCUAAGACAUAGAAAGGAGUUCGAAAGUUUCGGAUGACACCCCCCACCUUGUUACCAAUGUAGAGGCUUUGGAAAUUCUUGUCGGCGAGCUUUGCAAAAAGGCUUUAGCCUUCCUCGCCCGAAUCAAUGCUAGCCCGGCCCAAUUUUGCCGAGAACUCCACGUCGGUUCGCCGAAUGCCAAAAUCGACUUCGCCCCCGCGUUUUGGGACCUAUCAAUAGGGUUUCCAAGGCUUCAAAUGAGAUCAAUCUCAUACAUUUACAAAAACCUCAUUUUGGAACCCUAGAUUUGCACCUAUAGCAAAUCACCCCAUAAAUCCCUAGAUUCUUGGGAUUGAUCUAUUUAGAAGCUUGCUUAGGGUCCAUUUGACCCAUUCCAAGGCAUAAAACCCAAAGACCCUAAGUUCUAGAAGCUAGGGUUAGUAGCUUACCUCAAGAGCUACUCCAAUGGGAAGAGGAGAGGGAGUUGGAGGUGCUCAAAGCCUUCCUCUUGAUCUCCUUCUUCUUCUCCUUCCUUAUCUUCCUCUUCUUUUCCUUCCUCUCCUUCUUGUUCUUCUUCUCCUUCUUUCCUUUCUAGAGAGAGAGAGAGAGCAAGAGAGAAAUGAAAGUGAGAGAGAGAGGAAAUGAGAGAGUGUGAGGGAGAGAGAGGGCUCAGCCCACUCAAAUAAAUGCCAUUUUGCACAAAAGCCCCUCAACUUUCACCCCUGUGCACUGCCCUUACUGGGCAGUUUUCGCGCGGAGGGACCGGUCUCCCCGACUUGGGACCGGUCCCCGAGAGCUUCCCUCGGGCGCACGCGUUCGGGAACCGGUCUCUCCCCGGGAGACCGGUCCUCGGGAGACCGGUCCUCACCUGAGAGACCGGUCCCCGAGAGCUUGAUUUUCAGGACUUAGCUAAUUUUUGGCAUCUCACACUUGGGCCACGUUCGGGAACCGGUCCCUCACCACCAGGGACCGGUUGCAUCACGCAACCCCGCAACACCCAGCCGAGGGAACCGGUCUCUCACCUGCAGAGACCGGUCCCCGAGAGCAACUUCUGCCCAAUGAUGCCAUUUGCCUCAUUUGCUCUCGCGGACUCAACUCCAAGGCACUCUUUGUGCUUUGGACAUUCUCAACUCCCACCAAGGGUUUACUUGCGACAAUCAGUCGAUCCUGGGUGAAGUACAAUCCUCGUAUUUCGAGAAUUCACUUCCUUACACUUUUAUCAUAUAUAUUUGGAUGCCCCGGCUAGAUUAGUUGCAGCCACAGCACGUGCAUAUAUGUUAUAUCAGAUUAGCUGUAGUCUAUUUUCAAACCCCACCGGAUAUGGAGUUCACCUUAAGUGGCUGCCAUUUAUAGCGGAUUUUGAUGCAUGUGGCGGUUUAGCCUGGGGUGCAACAGCACUGGCCUAUCUAUAUCGAGCAUUGGGAUCGGCUGCAUUAAAAGGAAAGGUCGAAUGCUGUUGCUUCGCGACAUUAGUACAGGUAUUAUGAGUAAUAUAUAAUAAUUGUUAUAUAAAGCUUCUCCUUUUUAAUUUCACUUGUUUAAUUUAUUGUCAUUUAUUUAUAGAUUUGGGCGUGGGACCAUCUUCAUGUCGGCCCACCUACUAGCGUUGGAGCUAUUGCCGACAUGGCUGAUUGCCCUUUGGGUUGUCGAUAUGAUAUAUGAAUUUGAUACAUAUUACAUUUCUAUAUAUACAUUUGCAACUAACACGUAUACUUUUCCAAUAUUAGGUGGACGAACGCCGGCGUGUUACGUUUUGGAGCAAACGUUAGAACAACAGAUAUUGAAUUCUACCAAGAUGAGUUAGAUCAGCAGAGAAAGUCCCAGGUACGUAUUAAUGCUACCAAUUUUUUUAAUAUACAACCGUAUUAAUGCAUUCAGCUGACUAUUAUUGGCUUUUUCAUAGAUUACAUAGCGGCCGUACACAGAUGCUAUUAUAGAUGCGCUAUCGGCAUUCUAUGUACAGGGCAGUGAGGUAUGGUGAUCGAGGACGACACUGAUUUCUUUUCAUAUCGUUGAGCUUCACGUGCCGGAUCGAGUCCUACGGCAGUUUGGUCUCCACCAGCAUAUACCCAUUCAGGUGGAGACCAUCCGUCGCGUCACAUCUCAGGGGGCGGCCAGAUGAGGAUUGGACCCAUUUUCAUGCUGCACACAUCAAGAGAUGAGGACAAAGAUUACAGGCCAUUAUUGACCAGCAUCCGAUUGUCGAUGAUGACUCGGUACAGGCGACUUCUAUUUAUAUGGAGUGGUAUUGGCAGAUCACGAGAAGAUGGAUUUCUCGUCCAGUACAGCGUCCACUAUUGACUUACCAGCCUCGGGGCCAGAUCGAGAGAGCUUUGGUACGAUCACUCAUAUGCUAAUUAUUUUUUUAAUCAUAUAUAUAUUAUAGAUUGCCAAAAGUGAGUUUUUAUCGAUAAUGCAGGUAGACGCAUUACGACAGUCUCAGUAUAGCAUCGGACAGCUAGUUCGUGAUCAACCUUCUUACGAUACGAUGCUGGAGAUAUUGACGGGCAUGUAUGCCCACAUUGAGUCAGUACUGGAGUACAUUCCUUUCAUACCUAUUGCCGCUGAUAUCGGAGGUCGAGAUUUUGGUCAUGCCUCGACAUCGGGUCAUCACAAGAGACAAUCACCGACAUCUACUGGAUCAUACUCGAGAUCGAGCCUGCGAGUGUCACGAUCUCCAUCUCCUACUGAUGUUGCAGAUAUGCCCGCCGCCCCUUCAAGAUUUCCUUCUUGCCAUUGGACUUGGACUCGCUUCCGCCGCCAGUCUCUCGAGAGCACUUUAGAUUAGUCUACUAUUGACGUCAUGCCGCGUCAUCAUGACAGGCCCGCCUAGCAUCUACAUCGGCCACUAUCGAGGGUGAUCGACCUGAGCCAGAGGAGACUCAUGCGAUUCCGGAGCAUCCCGAGGGCAUUAUCAUUGCGGAUCUCGAUCAGAUGGCCGGUAUCGAGGCACUUGAUGACGUACCUACUGCUGAGCUCGAUGUACAGGGUGGCCGUAUGUGACACCCCAAUAGUCCCACAUCGGAUGGAAAAGGGGUUGUCAUUGGGUUUAUAUGAGACUUAGACACUAGUAAUAAUAACUGGGCUUAAGCAUUUUGGGCCGGUGGUUGGGCCCAACGAGUUAUUGUUGCUAGUGGGCUGGGUCGUUACAUUUGGUAUAAGAGCCAGUUUACCAGCUGGACAUGUGUGGCGAGUCUCGGCUGAGCCAAGGUCUAGAUGACGGGCUAGCGAGACGAGUCUCACAUCGCCUGGUGAUCUUGGGCUGUGUGUGUGAUUGGACUGACGAGGACGUCAGGGCCUUAACGGGGGGAGUCUGUGACACCCCAAUAGUCCCACAUCGGAUGGGAAAGGGGUUGUCAUUGGGUUUAUAUGAGACUUAGACACUAGUAAUAAUAACUGGGCUUAAGCAUUUUGGGCCGGUGGUUGGGCCCAACGAGUUAUUGUUGCUAGUGGGCUGGGUCGUUACACUGUAGAUGUGGACGUGGCCGUGGCCAAGGAUGUGGCCGAGGACGUCGAGGGAGAGGAAGAUCAAGAGACUGAUUGUAUAUUUUUUUUAUUUUGAGAGCAUUCGUUGUAUAAUAUUAUAUAAUACUUUAUUUAGUUCAUAUUUGUAUAUUUGUCUGUGUUUUUUUUAUAUUUUUACCUAGUUGAUUGUAUCUUGUUAUUCCACUUGUGAUGUUGUGUUUCUUGUUGGAAUAUUUGUUAUCGUGAAAAAACUUGCCUCAAACUUGUUCUAACUUGUUUUUAAAAUCGAGCUGAAUUUAUCACCUGCUGCAUGUUUGCACUAAAGGCGGUGAAUGGUUCACCGCCUCUAGUGCAAAUCCACGAAGCCCUCCACGAAGCUGCAAAAAAAUGGCUAUUUCCUAGACUGGGGGCUGUUUACAUUAAAGGCGGUGAACUAUUCACCGCCGUUAGUGUAGCACAAAUAAGACGGUAAACCAUUCACCGUCUUAUCAGUGUUUUAGCCCGAACUCCAGGACUUAGCCAAAUUAGGCUGGGUGGGAGUUUACUCUAAAGACGGUAAAUCAUUGACCGUCUUAUGAAGACGGUGAACAAUUCACCGUCUUAUAUAGGCCACAAAACCGUCGACUUUUGCGGGGAUUUGCUGCGAAGGUGGUGAAUGGUACACGCCUUCAGAAGGCGGUCAACCAUUCACCACCUUCUCUAGGACACCUUGGCAAAGCCGGGGUUGGGAUUUGCCGAGAAGACGGUAAACUAUUCACCGCCUUCUCUAGGGCACCUUCGGAAAGCAGGGGAGGGGUUUUGCUCUAAGGGAAAGCGGGGGAGCGGUUUUGCUCUAAAGGCGGUGAAUGGUGGUGAACGAUUCACCGCCUUAUGAAGAUGGUGAACGAAUCACCGUCUUUGCGAGAAAAAUCUGAGGUGGCGCCGACGUGGCGAAAUGAGGGUUAGUUUUACAAAUAAAUUUUUCAGAGGGUCAUUUUGCCAAUUACAAAAUUUUACAGGGUUAUUUUCAAAAAAAGCCCUGAUAUUAUUAUUAUUAUUAUUAUUAUUAUUAUUAUUAUUAUUAUUAUUAUUAUUAUUAUUAUUAUUAUUAUAAAAUAUUAUUAGUGAACCAUACACUACAAAUAUAAAAUAUUUUAACAAUAAAUUUUUAAUUAAUAUUUUUAUAUUUAUAUUAUUUUAUUAUUUUAACUAUUAAUUCAAUAAAUUUAAAUAAAUAUAAAAAUAAUUUAAAUUAGUUUAUAUAAGGUUUUCUUUUUAAUAUUUAGCCCCUCAAACAAAAAUUUUCAUAAAUAGUCCGAUAAAAUUUAUAUUUGCAAGAUUAGUUGUAUUCCCGCCACGGAAGCGCCAUAUAAGCGCCACGUGAGUAUGGAUGAUGGUGCAGAUUAAAUUGAACAUGGUGAAUCAUUCACUGUGUAGGAACACGGUGAAGGAUUCACCGUGUUCCAUUAUUUUCCUACCAAGUAAUAUUUAGGGUUAUGGUUUAGGAAAGACACGUUAAACCAUUUACUGUGUUCAACUUAAUAUUGCGCUCGCGUUGCGCUUCCAUAGUAGGGAUAGGGCCUAUCUUACAAUAUAAAUUUUGUGGGGCUAUUUGUGAAAAAGGAAAAUCUAAGGGGGCUAAAUGCAAAAAAAGCUCACUAUGUAUGAUAUAAUUUUUUGUAAAAAUUUACCAAUAAUUAAAUCAUUUUAUGAACGGAUGUGAAAAAAAAAAUUAUUAGAACGGAAACUACUAAAUUAUUUUUAAAAACUUUAUAUAAAUUUAAAAUUUAAUAAAUUUAAUAGAUAUAGUAAUUGUUAGUUAUUGGUUAUUUAAUUUUAUUUCAUUAAAAUUAAUUAUAAUUAUUGAAUUUGGCCAAAUUUUGAAUAAAAUUUAAUAAAAAUUUUGUUUAGUUAACUAAACCUAAUCAUAAAAAAUCAGAAAUUAUACAGAAAUUAGUUAAAAUUAAAUAAAUUUGAGAGAUCUAUUAAAAAGCAUCCUAAUAGUUGAAGGGGCUCUUCACAUAUUUUUUUACCAAUACUUUUUUUUUUUUGGUGAAAAUGUAAAAGGACAUCCUCACCUAUUGACAAUUUUGAUAUGGACCCUUUAUUUUUUCAGGCCAUUAUAAAAAAGAUCCCUAGUUAUUUUUUUUCCAUACAAAUUCAACUUUAAUUUUUAAUAUAAAUUAUUAUCUUACUUAAAUUAAAUUUUUAUUAAUGUACUAACACUAUUAACUAUUAGCUAUUAAAUUAUAUAAUUUUAUUUUACAAAUUUGGUAAAGUUCCUAAGAAAUUCUUAGAAUCUCUAAUUUAAUUAAUUCCAAUAAUUCAAUUCCAAGAAAAGAUAAAAAUUUAAUAAAUCUAAACAAUAAUUUAAGGCUAAAUUGCAAAAAAUGCUCUACCACUUUAUCUCUCGCCUCAAUAAUCCCCGCACUAAAAAUUACACAAAUUACUCUCCUAUAUUUUGCCAUUAUUUCAAAAAAGCUAUAAAAUUUUUUAAAAAUAANGGCCCCGCUGUUUGCUGUUCGGCUUUAAGACUUUAAUACAAUUUCUCAAGAUAAAUGACAAAAACUGCACUCCCCGCAACAGGGAUAAUAGUGCAACGCGAAAAAGCAAUGCCAGAAAAAAUGGUGCAACUGCCCUUCUAACAUGCAACGUAGGGUAAAAGACUACAACUGUGAUUGUAAUAGUGCAAUGUGGUCGACAGAAUAGUUCAAUGGUUUUAGGAAGCGGAGGCGUCGGAGAAGAGACCGAACAGCAAACACUAGGUGCGGAGUAGGAGGAGGCUCCACCACCUCUUUAUUGCCGCCGCCGCCGUGGCGCUUCACCUCCGCGCACCAGGGAUAAUAGUGCAAGGCGAAGGUUCUACGGCAGGAGAAAUAGUGGAACGAACCUUCUAACAUGCAACCGUAGCCUCGUUCUAGUGCAACCUCUCCAUAACCAAUCAAAAUUUUACUUAUUUUAUUUCAUAAUGUAAUCUUAAGCUAAUAGUAAAAAUGAAAGGACAUGGGGGCCGUCGAUAAUACCGGGGCGGAGUGGGAGGAGGCUCCACGAUGUCUUUAUCGCCGCCGCCGCCGUGUCGACUUCACCUCCGCGCGCCAGGGAUAAUAGUGCAACGCGAAGGUUCUAUGGUAGGAGAAAUGGUGCAACGGCCCUUCUAACAAUGCAUCCGUAGCAUCGUUCUAGUGCAAUCUCUCCAUAACCAUUCAAAAUUUUACUUAUUUUAUUUCAUAAUGUAAUCAUAAGCUAAUAGUGCAAAUGAAAGGGCAUGGGGGUCGUCGAAAAUACCGGGGCGGAGUGGGAGAAGGCUCCACCACCUCUUUAUCGCCGCCGCCACCAUGUCGACUUCACCUCCACGCGCCAGGGAUAAUAGUGCAAGGCGAAGGUUUUACGGCAGGAGAAAUGGUGCAACGACCCUUCUAACAGUGCAUCCGUAGCAUCGUUCCAGUGCAACCUCCCCAUAACCAUUCAAAAUUUUACUUAUUUUAUUUCAUAAUAUAAUCAUAAGCUAAUAGUGCAAAUGAAAGGGCAUGGGGGCCGUCGAAAAUACCAGGGCGGAGUGGGAGGAGGCUCCACCACCACUUCAUCCCCGCCGCCGCCAUGUCGCUUCACCUCCGCGGGCCAGGGAUAAUAGUGCAACGCGAAGGUUCUACGGCAGGAUAAUGGUGCAACAACCAGUCUAACAGUGCAUCUGUCACGCCCCGAGACCGGCACCAAUUUGGCCCGACCCGAGCACGUCAAACAGACGCCGAACGGACAGAGUUUCCCCUGUCCGCCCAAGGCUCAUCACAUGUACAAAAUUCAAACAAGAAUUGCACUAGCGGAAACAUACACAAACGGCUUACACGAGGGUAAGCAAAAGCCAUUAGUGAAAGAAAAAGGAAAACUAAACAUUCACUUGUACUAUGAUUCAGUUUUGAUCAUAUACAUUGCAUUCAUCUUGUUCAUUUUCGAAUUCCUUACAUUUCCUUACAUCAUUUCAUCAUUUCUUUCUUACAUCACGUUUACCUCAAAACAAGCUUUACAUUCUUUCUUUACAUCACUAAUCAUCAAGUACAAAAGAUGAUAAAAGGGUGUCUACUAACAAAAUGUAACCCAACAUUGGUGGCCUUUGACUACGGUGCGAUACCUUUACCGCGGUCGCUCGCCGGCUCACUCGGUCCCGGCUCUGUGGAAAUAGUGGGGUGAGAACUACAACAAAGUUCCCAGUGGGUUCGGCCUCAACAUCACCGACUUUCCCACUAGGACUAACUCAGGCAUAAUAGAAAGGAUAAGCUGAAAUAUAGUAACCAAUCUACAACAUGAUGCUAAUAUGCCUGAACAAAAUCAAGGAAUAUGCUCAACAUUAAACAGAUGCAGAUUAUGCAAGUUCUUUCGUUCUUUACACUUUACACUUUACACUUUGUUCUUUGCUCUUUGUUCUUUACUCUUUAAUCUCAAGGCUAACCCGGGGGUUUCGCCACAUUAACUUGCUUCACAUUAAGUCCAUCAUCGCAGGAACUCACCCGCUAGGACCGUCCUUACGGGUUUACUCCAACACGGAUGCAUAACUCCGGAGCGCAUCGCCGAGGGGAAGCGACCGGCCUCGAGACGUCGAACUAAUAGCAAGCAUGAUCAUAUCCUUACUGCAAAUGAUUUUAAUAAGUUCAAUCUUGACUUUACACUAGCUUUAGUGUUCAUUAUACUCAUUUAUGUUGGCAAAUCAUGCAAUCACGAAUUCUUUCGUUUUUUUAUUUUGCUAACUCUAGCAAUUUAUUCUUUACAUCUUUCUGUUUUGGCCCUACUCCUAGCACUUCGUCGUUCUAUUAUUUCCCACACUCUACUUUUAACCUUAAAAACAUAGUCUUUUUAUCAUUUCCUUUACAUUGCGUUUUGGUUCGUUUGCACUCACACGUACUCUAGUGUUCUCUUUACUUUACAUUUUAAUGGCCACUCGAUUCAUACUGUCAUUUGCACUCUGUUCGAUUUUGCUCACUUUGGAAGUACUCCAUUCUUUCUCUAUGCAUACAGUCUAGUGUUUUGGACAUUAUUAGGUGUCGUAACCAUUCAUUAUGCAAGUUAGUGUCACAAUCAUGCAAUUCAUACAUUUCAUCCUUACUUACCAUAAAAUGCAUGCAACAGUAUAUAGAAAAUGAUGCUCAAAGAAUGGACACAUUAAGGAUGAGAGAAUUUCAAUCGAGUUUUGAAAAAGCUCCCCUGAUGAUAGGUCUUAUUUAGGUGCUCGGUGUUUCUUGGUGAUUUUUAUGAACAGUCAUAUUGUUUCUGUUACCAUAACAGGCAAAACACGAACUUUUUAGGUUCCCAUUUUGCCCUUACUUGCUUUGACUUUCGUUAAAGUUUAUAAAGUUCCCUUAGACGCCAACCAGAGCCGUCGGAAAUAACCCCCAAUCUAGAUUGUUGUAAGCUGUGCAAUUGUCAACUUAGAAAUCCCCAUGAGCACAAAAUGCUUUCAUUUGGGUCGGCCCUAGUCCAAUGUAAAUCAAAAGACUAGGGGAUCAAUUGAUCUCAUUGGGAAGCAAAGUAGCUUAUGUACACUCUAAUUAUUCCAUUAAACCCAAUUAUUAGGCCUUUCAAAACCUAGUUAGUUGGAUAUUCACCAUAGAGGUGGGUUGAAGCUCACCUUGAGCUCAACCAUGGUUUUGAUCUUUCUAAAGAAGCAAAAGAAAGCUUAAUACUCUUAAAAACUCACAUAAAAACAAUUCUAGGCUUACCCAAACCCUAGUUUGGAGAAUCAUCGAAAGGGGCAAAGCUUACCUCAAGCUUGCCUAACUUGACUAAGAGAGAAGAAGAUGAAGCUACCUUUUGAUAGAAUGAUGUUUCAACUUCUCUUUGAUCUGUUUUUCACUUCUCGUUCUCUCGUCCUUCCUUACCUUCUUUUCUUCUUUCUCUUCUCUACCUUUGAUAUUCUUGUGAGAGAGGGAGAGAAGAGAGUGUGAGAGGGUGAGAAUGAGAGAAAUGUCUCAUUUACCCCAAUACUAUACUCAAUGGGUUGCAAAAUUGCAGCUAAACCCCUCAACUUUCACUUUAAUACACUGCCCGAACUGGGCAGUUCGCGCAGGCAGGGACCGGUCUCUCCCUUUAGGGACCGGUUCCCGAACGUUGUCCCAGCACAGCCAGAGCUGCUGCGCGCAGUGCAACCGGUCUCUCUCUGUGGGACCGGUCUCUCGGGGACCGGUCUCUCAGGCAGGGACCGGUUCCCGAGAGCUACUUUCUCAGGACUUAGCCGAUUUUCCGGCUGUCUCAUUUCAUACGCAUUCGGGGACCGGUCUCUCCCACUAGGGACCGGUCCCCGAGAGCUGAAAAUCUGCAGUUUUGCAGAAUUUGAUUCUUUAGCUCUCGAAAACCUUCCACAACUCACUUUUGAUCAUUUUUAACACCUUCGGACUUUCCGAAGUGUGCCAUCCUCGCACUUUGGUCAAUUUGACUAAAGUUCGACAUUUAUUUUCCGAAUUUUCGGUAUAUUACAACAUCCGUAGCCUCGUUCCAGUGGAACAUCUCGAUAACCAGUCAAAAUUUUACAUUAGGAAGCUUUCAUGCACUCUUUUACCGCAUUUUGUAUUAUCGUCAAAGUCAAUGAAUAUUUUUAUACUAUAUUAAUAAAGAGAUCCCUUUCUUUACAUUGUUACGUCGUGGAUCUAAAUACAUCUGUAUAAUUUAUUAUUUUGUUGCACUGCGUUGAGCAUUAUUACACUAUUACAGCUAAUUUUGCACUAUUACUUCCGUCCAAUAUGCCAUUCUUUGGCUAUUUAACACGAUUAAAAAGUGCAACGCAUUGUAAACGAGCUCAACCAUGUUCAUUUAAGUGCAAUAAUAUCGUAGUAAUCGUUCAAUAGUUUAAAGUAAUGGUGGAACGACUCAAACCUUUUAUACAGUGCAACCUUUCCCGAGGAAACUUCGUUGUGUCCGCCGGUGUCCCUUCGCCUCACUUACCGGCCACCGCCAUCUUCGCUCACCCACUCGAGUAUAACGUUCACAUCAAUGUACUUACACUGUCGCAAUAUUUAAUGCGACUGGCGUGUGAAACGCUAUUCGCCAUUGCCGGUGUUUGCUGUUUGUUUCUCGCUAUUGUCUGUUUGUAGUGCUUACGUUUUAUGUUUUGUAUGGAUUCUUACGCUGUUUUCUGAAUAGGUUGGCCCAUACUAGCAUCCCACUAACUUUCAAACUGCUGUCGCUCCCCAUUACCCUAUUCUAAACCUUCACUGCGAAGCAAACUGCCUUGCAACCCCCAUAUUUCCUAGCAACCGCAUUGCUCUUUGUGACCACCAUCUUCUGCUUCGAAUCCCAUCGGUCAAGAAACGACCUAUCUAAAUCUACGUAGCUUGUAAUGGCGUCGAAGUCGUCGCAUUCUACUGAUUCAUUGGCUUCCGGCGGCCGCAAGGCACCUUCGCGGCCGGUUGCCGGCGGCCCCGCCGAUAGAUUCAUUGUGAAUUCGCGGUGUUUCGUCGGAGCAUACAGGAAGACUUAUGCAUCUGUCGUGAAGCCGCAUCAUCUCCCCGUUAUCCAACGGACGGUAUUCGGUAAUAUCUUACACUUCCCCGACAUCACCUCAGAUAGGCCCAUGCUGGAGUUAAUCCUCCGACAUUGGAAGGAGGGUGUAGAAUUCGAAAUAGGCCCUCAAGUUAUACGCUUCACAGCCAAGGAGGUGGCAGUUCUUCUUGGAUUACCCCUGUCGAGCCAGGCUCUAGACCUAACCCUCAAUUUAGGGUCGGAUAUUCAUAAUCAGUUUCUUGAGAGAAAGAAGGUCGACCGCAAGAACCUGGAGGUGAUGUUAAAGGAGAUGUCAAAUAAGCAGGGUGAAGAGGACAUUACCGACUUCGUCAAAUUACUUAUUGUUUAUUUUUUUUGUUGUAUUCUUUUCACCAAUACCAAUAAUCUCUGCCCCGAAAGACUGGUGGGGCUUGUAGAUGAUCUCCCCACACUGUCACGGUACAAUUGGCUGGAAGCAGUACACCGGCUUAUAAUUGACAGCCUAUGCUCCGCCGCGGCCAAAUUGCAAGCUAAUUCGAAGCGGGUAGGAUACGUUCUUGGAUGCACCCCGCUUCUCCUAGUAAGUGUAUAUUGUUCAAGUAAUCGUGCAAGAUAAUUAUUAUGUGUUUUCAAUCGUUCAUGCGUGUACAGAUUUGUAGUGUAAUCGUGCGAAAAUAAUCUAUUGUAUGCUUAAAUCUAGUAACUGUGUAAUGUAAUAUACCGAAAAUUCGGAAAAUAAAUAUCGAACUUUAGUCAAAUUGACCAAAGUGCGAGGACGGUACACUUCGGAAAGUCCGGAGGUAUUAAAACGAUCAAAAGUGUGUUGUGGAAGGUUUUCGAGAGCUAAAGAAUCAAAUCCUGCAAAACUGCAGAUUUUCAGCUCUCGGGGACCGGUCCCUGGUGGGAGAGACCGGUCCCCGAACGCGUAUGAAAUGAGACAGCCGAAAAAUCGGCUAAGUCCUGAGAAAGUAGCUCUCGGGAACCGGUCCUUGUCCGAGAGACAGGUCCCCGAGAGACCGGUCCCCCAAAGAGAGACCGGUUGCCCUGCGCGCAGCAACUCUGGCUGCGCGGAGAGAGCCUUCGGGAACCGGUCCCUGAAGGAGAGACCGGUCCCCGAGCCCGAAAUCUGCCCAGUCCAGGCAGUUGAAUAAGAUGAAAGUUGAGGGGUUUAUUUGCAUUUUUGCAACCUAUGGGUUAUGUAGAGGGCUGAGAGAGCCUUUUCUCUCAUUCUCUCCCUCACACACACUCCCUUCUCUCCCUCUCUCUCUCUAGAAGACAAAGGAGAAGAGAACAAAGAAAGAAAAGAAGGAAAAGAAGACAAAGAAGGUGAAGAAGAAGCUUUUGGAGCAAAGAGGCUUCAUCUCCUUCUUCUCUAGUGCAAGAAAAUGAAGCUUACAAGGUAAGCUUUGAACCCUAAUGUAGUAAAACCCUAGAAAUGGGUUUGAAUGAACCUAGAAAUGGUUUCUAAUGGAAUAUCUAGUAGUUUGAAGCUUUCUUUUUGCUUCUUUAGAGAUCAAAACCAUGGUUGAGCUCAAGGUGAGCUUCAACCCACCUCUAAUGGUGAAAUCUAAUCUAGGAUUUUGGAAAGCCUAAGAAUGGUUCUAAUGGACUAUUUAGAGUAUAUUGAAGCUACUUUUGCUUCCCAAUGAGAUCAAACCCUAGGUUUUGAUAUACAUGGGAGCUAGGGCACCCAAAUUGGGGCUUUUGCUCAUGAGGGUUUCUAAGUGCAAUUGGCCCUCUAGAAAUCUAAUUGGGGGUAUUUCCGACGCGUUGGUGCGUUCGAAUUAACGUUACGAAAAGUCUAUAGAAAGAUAUGGGCAAAAUAGCCUAAGUUGGCUUCGUUUUGCCGCAGGUGAAGAACGAGGAGCCUAUAAAUCCCAAGAAAAUCGUCGGAGCACCUAAAUAGACCUACGAGGUGGGUGGUGCUUCUCAAACUCAUUGAACUUCUCUCUAUGCCUAAUGUGUCAUUCAUUGAGCAUGUGUAUAUAUAUUGUUGCAUGCAUUUUAGGUAAAGUAAUGAUGAAAAUGUGAUGUUGCAUGAUUGUGAGUACAACUUGCAUAAUAUGAUGAAUAAGAACUAUGUAAAUGUCAAAAACCCUAUGUGUAUGCAUGAGAGAAAAGUGAGCACCCAAGGUGAGCAAAAGAACAGAGUGACACAAUGACAUAGAUCGAGUGGCAUUUGAUAAAGUUAAAGUGAAAUGACACUAGAGAUAGUGUGAGGUAAAGAACCAAUGUAAUGUAAAGAAUGACGAAAAUGACAAUAUGUAUAAAGUUAAAGUAAAGUGGGGCAAUAAGAACAAGAAAUGUAAAGAACAAGAAUGUUAAAGAUGGCAAAAGUAAAAGAAAAGUAAAGAACAAUGAUUGCUAGAGUUAGCAACAUAAAGUGAUGAAAGAACACUAGAGCUAGUGUAAAGUCAAGAUUGAACUUAUAAAUCCUUUGAGUUAAGGAUAUGAUCAUACUUGCUAUGAGUUCCGUGCUCGAGGGCGGUCGCUCCCCCUCGGGCGAUGCGCUCCGGAGUUAUGCAUCACGGGUUGGAGUAAACCCGAAGGACGGUCCUAGCGGGUGAGUUCCUGCGAUGAUGGACUUAAUGUGAAGCAAGUUAAUGUGGCGAAACCCCCGGGUUAGCCUUGAGAUUAAAGAAUAAAGAACAAAGAGCAAAGAACAAAGAACAAAGUGUAAAGAUAAAGAACGAAAGAAUUUGCAUAAUCUGCAUAUGUUAAUGUUGAGCAUAUUCCUUGCUUUUGUUCAGGCAUAUUAGCAUCAUGUUGUAGAUUGGUUACUAUAUUUCAGCUUAUCCUUUCUAUUAUGCCUGAGUUAGUCCUAGUGGGAAAGUCGGUGAUGUUGAGGCCGAACCCACUGGGAACUUUGUUGUAGUUCUCACCCCACUAUUUCCACAGAGCCGGGACCGAGUGAGCCGGCGAGCGACCGAGGUAAAGGUAUCGCGCCUUAGACAGAGGCCACCAGAAUUGAGUUGGGUUUGCAUUUUGAUAGUGGCUACCCUAUGUUCAUCUUCUGUACGUGAUGAUUAGUAAUGUAAAGAAAAGAAUGUAAUGUGUAUUUUGAGGUAAAUGUGAUGUAAGAAAGAAAUGAUGAAAUGAUGUAAUGAAACGCAAAGAAUCCUAAAUGUAAGAAAUGGAUGCAAUGUAUAUGAUCUAAAAUGAAUCAUAUUACUUGUGUAGAAGUUUAGUUUUCCUAUCUUUCACUAAUGGCUAUUGCUUACCCUCGUGUAAGCCGUUUAUGUAUGUUUCCGCUAGUGCAUUUCUCGUUGAAUUUGUACGUGUGAUGAGCCUUGGGCGGAUAGGGGAAACUCUGUCCGUUCGGCGUCUGUUUGACGUGCUCGGGUCGGGCCAAAUUGGUAUCGGUCCCGGGGCGUGACAGUGUAAACUCUAGUGUAAUAUUGUCUUUGUAUUCAGGUGUGGAUAUACGAGCACACUGGAUAUAGAUGUCCCCUGCCUUCCCAUCGUGCAAUAUUUUCUCGUGUCCAGAGGUGGGAUACGAUUAGAUGGUCUCGUCGUUCGCGGGGAUCAUCGAGAGUGAAGGAAGAUUUUAACUUCACUACAUGCUGCCGCAGGCUUGACCUCUCCCCGGAGGAACUACGCCUGGUGGGUGUCGUGGCUCAAGUUCCACGGCGCCACCGCCGCCCCAGGAAUGAGGAACCUCCGGGGGGUUAUAAAGAGGUGAUGGCGGCAAUUAGCCGUCUGGAGUCCGUGGUGUUCAGUCUUGCCACCUCCGUUGCCGGCAUACUGAGCAAUCCGGCACUCCUACCAGCACCAAAAUCCACCCUGGCACCUAUUGGAAGUAUCAAAAGCAAGAAGAGGAGACAUGAAGGAGUGCAAAUACCAAGCCCUCCACCGUCUAAAUCAUCUAAGCGAUCGACACAGGGAGCUAAAAAAGGAAAGAUAGGAACGUCCAUAUUGGCGAUGCCCGCACCGAUCUCGGCCAUUAAGGCGAAGCCCGAAAUCGGUAAAGAACGGUCGAGAUCUUCUUCGAAAUCUAGAAAGGAUGGGGCACGCCAAAAACUAGAGAGUCCGCCAAAGGCUCCCAAGGACUCUCGUAAAAAUCGCACGCUGGGGAGGGGCAAACGAUUUCGAAGCCGUACAAUCUCCGACCUCGCUGGGGAUGAAAGAAUAAAGCCGACGACCCAAUUGCCGACGUAUGCGACGUCCUUAUUAUUUUACAUUCUCAACAAACGAUUGAUUCUAAUAUGGCAUCUCCAUAAUAGUGUAACUCUACAAGACUUGGAUUAAUAAAAUCAUGUUUUAGUUCUAUAAUUGUGUAACCUUUAUUAUAAUCGUGCAUCAUAUUUUAGAGUAGUGUAACAUAGAACACAUUAUUUAUAUGCAGGUCCCCCCACCGAGACGGAGCGUCAAGUCACAAUCGCCGCGCCCGCUCAAUAUAUAUGAAGAAAAUAUCGAAGAAAGCGACAGUCGAACAGCGGGACUCUUCGCCAGCGAGUCAGUUUUGCAUAGAGAUGAAGUAUGUAAUAGUGUAAGUUGUAAUUAAAUAGUGUAAUUCCUAACGAAUUUGUUUAUGUGAUGUCAAAUAUUUUUUGAAAAUGUCAGCUGAUGGACAUCGUCAUCGAAAUAUGUGAAGACAUCCAACCGUUAUCUUCACUACUAGAGGUGCCGGCGGCAGAGGAAAAGGGGGAGGAGGAGGCCGCGGAGAAAGCGGCCGCCGAGAAAAUUGUGGAGUCGGCUGUUGGGGCGGUGGAGGUGGAGGUUGCACCAGUGACAGCGCCGGCGGCGGAGGAUGCAUGCUCUGAGGAAAAGUUGGAGGCGGCGACAGCUCCGGCGGAGGAUGAAGAAAAGGAGGAGGUGGAGGCUGCACCAGUGACAGCGCCAGCGGCGGAGGAUGCAGGCUCUGCGGAAAAGGUGGAGGCGGCGACAGCACUGGCGGAGGAUGAAGAAAAGGAGGAGGUGGAGGCUGCACCAAUGACAGCGCCGGCGACGGAGGAUGCAGGCUCUGAGGAAAAGGUGGAGGCGACGACAGCUCCGGCGGAGGAUGAAGAAAAAGAGGAGGCGACGGCGGCGGCGGAGCAUGUGGUUAAGGAGGCGAAGGCGGCGGCUGAUGAUGUGGUAAAGGAGGCGAAGGCGGCGGCGGAGGAUGUGUUCCCGGCGCCUACCCACACUGCGAAGUCUUCCAUGCCGGAACCCAGCACUAUACCGGUAUGUGAAUAUUGCACUAUUAUCGAUCUUUAAUGCGAUUUAGCUUAUAAUAGUGUAAUAAGGUCCAGUAAUGGUGUAAUUCAUUGAGUGUAACAGCUUAUAAUAGUGUAAUAAGGUCCAGCAAUGGUGUAAUGCAUUGAGUGUUUAACUCUUUAUUUGAUUUCUAUACAGCCCCCAAUAAUUAUCGACAUCCUGGAGUUGAAAGAAACGUAAAAAAAACAAAAGGCCCAAAAACUUAAAUUGAAGGUACCAUUAUCUUCAGCUAAUCGGGAUUUAAAAUACGACGGCAAGGGAGAGUUACCAAAGGAGGAUCAAGAGCGAAUUGAAAAAUUCCUGACAAGUACCAAUACCGAACCAGUAAGAGUGCCUUCGAAGGGUAUUGACAUCGGGAGGAUUGACUUCAUUGACCUAACAAGUCAUAUGGCCUUUGUCAGCUCUGAUAUUAUCGACGCCUACCAGCAUUUACUGGAGUAGGCAGAAGGCCACAAGUGCAUAUACACCACGUCCUUCCUUUGUCAGACAAUAGGAACAUCAAUGAACCCCGCCGAGAUGUUUUUGCAAGACAUCAACGAGGAGGUGAUUACUGGGGCAAAGUACUGGUUCAUCCCACUCUUCCACUCCGACCACUGGCAUUUGCCAGCGGUCGAUCUCCAAGCCGGAAAGUACAUCCACCUAUCGUCCAUUAAAAAUCCUAAAUACAACGCUGGGUUUGAGACAGCGGUAAGUAUUUUCUUUUUAUAUAUAUAUAAAANUAUAUAUAUAUAUAUAUAUAUAUAUAUAUAUAUAUAUAUAUAUAUAUAUCGUCCAGUAAAAACCAGGCUUUCUAAUUAGUCCAAUGUUUUCUUAUGUAGUGUAAAUACAUAGGUAAUUUUUUGCAAAAUAAAUUUUUCGAUUUGUUUCUUCGCCGCGGUACCCGUCCAGUCGACUGGGAGAUGAUCAACAGGGAUGACAUCCCGAUGCAAGAUCAAUCAAAUGAUUGCGCAAUCUUCCUUUUAACAUACGAAGAAUACUUGCAGAAGGGGUGGAACUUGAACUUCUCCCAGAAAGAUAUAACGAAGAAACGCGAGGAGAUAACAACAGAAUUUUUGCGGCAUUUUUACUCACAAUAAUUCUAGCCUUAUUCAUUCGAUUAACAAAUCUUUAAUUUGUAUAGUCAAUUUAUUUUUAUUGACUCCAUCCGUGUAACAGUGCAAUGUAAUGUACAUAAUGGUGCAUUUUAUUGUAAAAGUGGUGUAAAAAAAUUCAUCUUAUAUUAUAACGGUGCAAUGUAAUAGACAUAAUAGUGCAAUUUUUUGAAGAAGUGGUGUAAAAGAAUUCAUGAUGAUUGUAACGUUGCAAUGUAAUAGACAUAAUAGUGAAAAGUUGUUAAACGAAUCCACUUGUAUUCUAACGGUGCAAUGUAAUUGUCACGCCCCGAGCUCCGCCGAUUUGGUCGGAUUCGAGCACAUGACAGACGCCGAACUGACAGUACCUCCCCUGUCCGCCCAAGGCUCCAACAACAAGUAUAAUACAAGCAAAUCAACAAGGAGAAUUGCGAGAUAUAUUAGGUUUGCACGAGGGCAAACAACAACCACAGUGAAAGCAUCGAACUAACUAAACAUCCAACAUACAUGUCAUUUGAUCUCAUUUGAAUCAAACACAAGUAGUCAAACACAUUUACAUUCAUUACAUUAUUCUUGCAUUACCCAAAAUACAAUUUACAUUACAUCACUUUUACUUUACAAUUUCAACAUACAAAAGUUGAAUACAUCAAGAGUAGGGUAUGCCUAUAUAACUCCGGGGUCGCUAUCUACGGCGCGACUCCCUUGCCUCGAUCCUCCGCCGCCCCGCUCGCAUAUGGAUCUGCAGGGUUAGUGGUAAUGAGAACUAGAACGAAGUUCCCAGUGGGUUCGGCCGCCGACCACGCCGAUUCGCCCACUAGGUCUAAUUCAGGCAUAUGUAUUUCAAUAAAGAAGAAUAACAAACCAACUAAUGCACUUCUAAUACAAUGCCUGCAAAAAAACGAUUCACAGAUAGAUAUUCAUAUUCAAAUACAUGAUUAUUAUGCAUGCAUGUUCUUUUCACUUUCCUUUGGCCUUUACCAAAUCAACCUGGGGUGCUCCUGGUUUACCCCAACUCACAGUCCGCACAUCCAUCUAACGGGGGAGGCACAAGGCACAACCACCCGAAGGAUCUUCGCUGGGCACGUCCACCCGUGGUGCAUUUCUUCUCCGGAGUACACCGCCCGUGGAGGAGCGACCUCGCACAAGCCGGAACCAAUACAUGUGAGUAUGAUCCCAUCCUCAAAUUUGAGGAGGUAUGGCCAACCUGUCACUGUCUCAAGGCCGAUGAAUGGUUACAACCUAUUCAUGCACAUACCGUCACUUGCCAAUGUCAUGGUGGUCCUAAUGCCACAAUACACAUAAUGUCACUCUGGUAAAACCUUGUUUAACUAUUCACUCAUCGAUGUCAAUCGAGUCACUAAUGUCCAUGUCGCCUUUGUUUACUACGGUCACAGUCAUUUCUUACAUUCACAUGCAUAUAGGGUCUUUCACUAUUCUUGUUCACAUGUUUCUAUAUCAUUACAAUAAUCUCACGCAGAUAAUUGUCACAACCAACAUAUACUGUUCAUUACCCUACAUGCAAGAAUGCCAUAAUCUCAACAUGCUCAAAGAAAGGAUAUAGACAUAGAAAGAGAUCCGGUAUUUCCGGAUAGCACCCCCCACCUUUAUGUGUCACAAGGAUGCCACGAUUCUGAUUCCACGAUUUUUAGGCUUGUUCGCCGCGAGCUACGGCGAUCUGUACUAUUUCAACUUGUUUUCUCAAUAUCUUCGCGCACGCUCGUCGUAUCGCCGAACCGAGCGCACCGACGCGUUCGUAGACCUACCAAUUUGGUUAAAAUGAGAUCAAAUCCAAGUUUGAACCUCAAAAUUACAAAAUCCUAAAUAUAGGUCCCUCGACAAAGUCAUCUUCCCCAACAUAGGUCCUUACACAUGAGAAACUUGGGGAAAAUACUCUAACCCAUCUCCUAGAAGCACACUAGAAGGAAAAAUCCAAACUCUAGCUCAAAACCCAUGAGAACUCACCUUUGGAGUCCAAAGCUUCCUUCAAAAGCUUUGAUCAACCUUGCUCUACACCUUGGAGAGCUUCUUCUCCAAGCUUGCUCCUUCAAAUCCCCUCUUGGUCCAAGCCCUAAAGAGAGAGAGAGAGAGAAGAGAAGGAUUUUAGAGAGAGAAAGGGAAGGUUUUGAGAGUGAGAGUGAGAGUGAGAACAAAUGGUUCUCACUCAUGCCCUAGCUCAAAUAACCCUUCACAUGCCAUAUUUGCAUCUAAACCCCUCAACUUUUCAUUUUUACAAACAACCCUCACUGGGCAUUUUCGGGCUCGGGGACCGAUCUCUCCCCUUCAGGGACCGGUUCCCGAGAGCUACCCUGCACUCAGCGCAGAAGGGGACCGGUCUUCCCCUGAUGAAACUGGUCUCCGGGGACCGGUAUCCCGCCGAAGGACCAGUUCCCGAGAGCUCAGUUUCCAGGACUUAGCCGAUUUUUCCCUCUGCUUGGCUGAUCAACGUUCGGGAACCGGUCUCUCAUCCAAGGGACCGGUCCCCGAGAGUAAAAAUUCUGGAAAUUUUCCAGAAUUGCAGUUUCACUCUCUCGGGUCCCUUUAUACUUCAUAUAUAGGCUCCAAUACACUUUUAGCCUAUAGUAACUCAUUCCUUUCCGUGUUCCACUCAUUUCGACGGAACUCGGCACGAUUUACGGAAAAGUGAUAUGUUACAGUAAUAGACAUAAUAGUGCAAUUGAAUGUUUAAGUGCGGUAGAGAAUCCAUGUUGGAUUGUAACGGUGCAAUGUAAUAGACAUAAUAGUGCAAUUCAUUGUAGAAAUUGGUGAUUUGUUUACGGCUAUUACACUAUUUUAUUUCCAUUCCCAAACAUCGAAAGUUGCUUUACCUUCCUGAGGCGUAAUUCUCUUACAAUCCGGUAAUUAUAUGAGGCCCAUGCGCUAUACGCAACAGCGCCGUUUUAUGAAAGAGCAUUAAAUGCAAGCCAUUAAAGAGCCAUUAAUGCAGCAAGCGCGGGAAACGCAGUUUUAGGGCGACGAUAUUCUAUUCGCCAGAGCCAGUGUUUGCUGUUAGUUUUUUGAUUUUUUUAUUUAUAUGAUUUGGAAGUGCAGCAGUACUUGUCUCAAGGACUGAAGGGAAUAUAAAAUCUAAUGAUGUCACUGUCGAUAUAUCUUGUUGAGGUACAGUUGAAUAUGGCACAGUUACCGAAAUAACAUAUAGAAAUUGAAUUUGAAAUAUCAUUGCAAUAGAUAGCAUAAUAGUGUAACAGAAGUCAAAAUUAGUGCAAUACAACCGCAUAUGCAUGGUCGACUUGUCCAAAUGGUGCAAGGCUUGCGUCGUUUGGAAAAAAUUCUGGCGGAUUAGAAAUAAAUUUUGGCGGGAACAGAAGUAUUAUUUUCCGCCCCAUGCACAACUUAACAACUCAUGCACGUAAACUGGAUUAUAUUAUAUAUUGAUGAAAGAGUGUUUUUGAAUAACUUUUAGCUAAUUUUCUGUAUCCAACUCUUACAAGUGAUGGAUAACGCUGAAAUUCCAGUGCACUACAAUUUUAAUGAACGUUUUAAGGAGGAAGGAGGCAUUGUCAAUUAUGUAGGAGGGUCCAGCCGGCUCAAUUUCAUCAGGCAAGGCGAUAAUUUUAAUUCCCUGCAAGCAAUGUUCUGCAAGUACAUGAAUACUUCACAGGAAUCCUGCAAGAUCGAAAUUAAACUUAGCUAUAGUGGGAAUCUCAGCAAACUCAUUGACAUUGUUGACGACGGCGAUCUCGGAAACAUACGGAGACUCUAUAAAACCAACGCGUAUCUGAUGGAGCUUUAUGCUGUGAGUAACUUAGUCGAGAGAAAGGUUGCUACUUGUGAUCCCGAUGAUAUAAACGAAUUGCUUACAGACGAACAGCUGGAGCUGUUGAUUAACAGCCGUUCUGGGGAUGCAUUUACUCCUUAGCAGACACAUUUUGAAAAAGUUGGCUCGUAAGUUACACUAUUAUUUUUUUUGCACCAUUACCGAGCCUUAUUGCACUUGUAACCUCUUUAUUUUCAGCGGUUGCACUACUCUCAAUGCACUUUUGCACCAUUAUAUUUUACCUCAUUCAAUUGUAAGCAAUAUAUAUUAUACGAUUGCACUAUUACAUAAUUUUUUCAUUAUAUAUUAUUUUUAUGUUGCACCGGUUCGUAAUAUCUUGCAUCAUUACUUCGACCUCUUGCACCGUAUGAACUUUACACAUAAGGGUUCUUGUACUAUUUAAUAUUUACAAUGCACUCCUUGCAUGCUUUCACUUAUGGUGCAGAUCUUCUUAUUCUAUUCUCAUUGACGAUGCGGAAGCGGCAGACAGUGACGACGGUUUUAUUAUUGCUGAUUUGAAAGACGAGUUAGAUUCCGACGAAAGAAACGGUAUCGUCUCGACUUCUCCCGACGCACCUCAUUGGACAUACAGCGCCAUGGAUAUCCUCCCGUUGCGGCAAAGCGAUGUAAUAGGACUUACUGCUGAGCAAUUUGGCCACGACGAGCUUGAAGAAGCCCUCAUUGUAAACAGCUCUACGAUGGAGUCAGUUGUUGAUGUCGCAGAUGCGGACGAUGUCCAUGAGGGCCAGCUCUACAAGAUGCAAGGCGACUUCUAACGAGCUCUCAAAGCAUACGCAAUGAAAAGAGGUUUUGAGUACGCACCGACGAAAUGCAACGACCAUAAGAUAACCGCACGAUGCCACGUCUUAUAUUGUCCUUGGAGAAUAAAGGCGCGUCAAGUACCAGGAAUUGCUCAAUAGUGCGUGAAGAAAUUUGAUUCGCAACACACUUGUAGCAGGGCAAUAGGGAGAUUGGGCCAUAGGAAUUGCGAUGCGGCUUUUAUAACAGCAUUUGUUAGGGAGCAGGUGGUGGCAAACAAGAAAUACACGCCGAAGAUGGUUCAGACCGAGAUUCUUUGGCAGCACGGCGUAAAAAUUUCAUACCGGAAAGCCUACCGGGCCAGGAAUUGGUCCUUCAAGAGGUGCGCGGCGAUUUCGAGGGCUCGUUCGCUCUACUUCCCUCGUACAUGCAAGAGUUGAGGAGUGGAGAUGCGGAAACAUGUCUCCAAUUACUUUACCAGGACGAGGGUCGUUUUCAUCAUUUUUUCUGAGCUUCGGCGCAGCAAUUCGAGCAUUUAGGAAGCACUGCAGGUCGCUGUUGGUCUGGAUGGUACGUUAUUGCACUAUUACGCCACUAUCACAUCAUUAUUUUACUAUGUUGCACUAUUAUAUAAUAAAUUCAUGAAUGUAACACAAUUAUUUGCACGAUUACACAAUUAUAUACACGGUUUUUUAUUCUUACAGGAACCUUCCUAACUGGUAAGUUUAGAGGUUGUCUGCUGACGGCGUCAUGUAUUGAUGGGAAUAACUGCAUAUUGCCAUUGGUGUGGGCAGUUGUUGAAGGUGAAAAUUGCUAUUCCUAGCAUUGAUUUCUGGAACAGUUACGGGAUGGCGUCGUUAGUGAUCGCGACUCCAGUAGAGCAAACAGUGUACUUACUAUCGUUUCCGACCGCCAAAAGGGAUUGAUUGAUGCUGUAUCCGAUGUUUUUCCGGAUGCAGCUUAUGGUUAUUGCAUUUACCAUCUGUCUACCAAUCUCCCGCACGCGCCAAAGAAUACACCUGCGUAGAGAAGAUUUUGGGCGGCGGUGCGCGCAUACAUUGUCGCGGAGUUCAACAAAUACAUGGAGAAGAUUAAGGAGUUGAACCCCGAAUAGUACAAGUAUGUGGUCAAGCUUCCUCGGCAUAGGUGGGCUACCCAUUGCUUCCUGGGAAGGCGUUAUUCAAUGCUCACUUCCAACUGUGCCGAGACGAUAAAUAGUGUAAUUCGACAUUUAAAGGGCCUUCCAAUUACCUACCUCGUCGAGGAAACACGAAAGAAAACAGCUUGUUAUUUUUACCAGAGAAAACAUAAUGGGGAGAAUAUUACCAGUGUAGUAACACCCUAUGCAGAAAAGAUUUUAGGUAUUAUCGUUUAUUUUUCCCCAUUUAAUCAGUAUAUUACACUACUUAUCAAUCGGUUACAUGUAGUCAUUACACUAUUUGUCCCACCCUUUGGACUGGCUUGUUGUUUUUCAGGUAAUUGCAGCCGACUGUACGGAUGUUGUGGAUCUUUCCAAAAAGACAUGUUCCUACAAGCGAUGGGACAUUGACGGAAUUCUAUAUAAUCACGCCAUGGCAGCAAUUUCUUUUAGGCUACGGGAUCGGUAUGAUUUUGUCGAGGAAUGGUUCAAGACCUCGACUUAUCGCGCAACCUACAACGAUUGCGUCCCCUCCACCAGAGGCAAAGAGCAAUGGCCUGCAAUACCAAGUAACGUUGUUCCACCACGGCCGCAAAACGUCUGCAUACAACCGGGCAGAAGAAAGGUUUCGCGGCGAGAGUCUAUUGCUAACGACUUAAUAAAGAAGCGGUGCCGGAAUUGCCAGAGAUGGGGGCACAACAAAAGGUCAUGCAAGAACCCUCCUGUGACUAGAGCAAACCAGCCGCGCGCGACGACAUCCGCGGGCGCACCGCAGGAAACAUCGAAAAAUCCAUACGUCUUAUUGUAAUAGUUCAAGGCUAAUGCUAAUAGUGUACAUAUAGAUAAUUUGAUUAAGUAAAUUUUUGUAAUAGUAUAAAAUAGAAGAUAAUAGUUCAACAUAUUUAAAAAAUAGUGUAACGAGGAUCUCAAAAUUUUGACUGUUAAGUGAGGUUGCACUGGAACGAGACUACGGAUGCACUGUUAUAGCGGUCAUUGCACCAUUUAUACUGCAGUAGAACCUUCCCGUUGCACUAAUAUCCCUGCGCACAGAGGCGAAUUCGACACUGCGGCGGCGACGGCUAGAGGUAGCGCAGCGGCGGAUAAAGAGGUCGUGGAGCCUCCUCCUACUCUGCCCCGCUAUUCGACGACCCCCAUGUCCUUUCAUUUGCACAAUAGCUUAAGAUUACAUUAAGAAAUAAAAUAAGUAGGUUAUGGAGAGGUUGCACUGGAACGAGUUUACGGAUGCACUGUUAGAAGGGCGGUUGCACGAUUUCUCCUGUCAUAGCUCCUUUCUGUUGCAUUAUUAUCCCAAUUGCGUGCGUGCACUUAAUGUCAUUUAGCUUCAGAAAAUAUCUUAAAGUCUUAAAGCCGAACAGCAAACAGCAGGUACGGCGAAUAGCGGGGGGGAUGUCGUCCGUUUUCCAAGUAAUGAGCGAGGUUGCGUAAAGCGGAAGUGGCGCAUUUAAUGAGCGUCAGACAGUAUGGCAUGGUCCGAGUUCCGAGUAAUGAGCGAGGGAGGAGAGGUUGCGUAAAGCGGACGCGGCGCAUUUAAUGAGCGCCAGCCCGCGCGGCUUUUGUAUACGAGGGGUGAAAUGAAAUUUAUAGUUAACGAAGUCUUUAAGUGGUGUAACUAAGAUCAAAAGAGUUCAAGAUUUUCCAGUAAAGUGUGUAACAGUACGAUAUGUAGCACAAUUUUUUCACAGAAUUGGUGAUAACAUGAACAUAAUAGUGCAAAAAUGUCCGAAAUUUAUAUUAUACUAUGAUGUAAAUAGUGCAACAUUGUUUGUUAAAUAUUGUAACCGGUAAAUAGUGUAACAAAUUCGUAAGGAGUCGAUUAACAUGUGAACAAGAAUUACAUUAUCUUUGAAGCCGAGUACACGAUUUUAUAGUACUUUGCAAAAUACAAAUAAGAUUUGCAUACAAUGUAACCUUCUAUUACAUCAACUAUAACAAACUUUUCAUAAUAAUUAAUUAAGAAAAGUAUGUAAUCAUCAAAGUUUCUCUGCAAUUCCACACGCACAUAGCCGACGCUAACAGGUAUAGGCCAGGGAAGACUGCCAAAGGAGACUGCGAUGAGGAGGAGACUGCCGAAGGAGACUGCGAGGAUGAGGAGGCUCGUUCAGAAGGGUAGAUCCAGCAACGAGGCACUAAGAUUGAUUUGCACUAUCUGGAGUGCUUUAUAUGCCUCGAGCCUUUUGGAGCUCCGCUCUACCAUGAAACAGACAAUUCAAUCAGCAAAACAUAAGAAUCCAUCAAUAACAAUAAAGAUAUGCAAGAAUUUAAGAACCUGUAUGAGAGGAGGGCCAAUGGGCUCGUGGCAAAUAAAGCACUCCAGAUAGUGCGAAUCAAUCUUAACGCCUCAUUGCUGGAUGGUACCCUUCCGAGCGAGCCGCCUAUUCCUCGAACGCUGCUUCAACUCUCUACCGUUAAUAGUGCAACGUAGGGUAAAAUAGUAGAACUAAGUUCAUAAGGGUGCAACGAUGUCAUCAUAAUAGUGCUAUGGAUUCAGCGAACAGCAAACACACGGUCUGGCGAAUAGCGUGGAUGAUAUACGCUCCCUGCGCAGGGCGCAUUUAAUGCUGCUAAAAGCACAUAGCGUAACAUGUACGUUAUAGCGUCCCUUCUGUGAGGCGAAGAGACACCGGCGGGUAUAUCGAAGCUGCCUCGGCAAAAGUAAAAGCACUAUUCAAACGUUUUUUUAUUUUUAUUUUGUUUAAAUAUGGCUUCUUCAGUUUCAUUCCGCGUAAAGGCGUUACACUGUUAUGACGAAUGUUACUCUAAUAUCGCGCCAGUAUUGCACUUUUAGAAGCUAUAUUACAUUAUGUUACUUGGCGUUCACUAUUAUUAGGGUCUAUCGUUGCACUAUUAUUAUACGAUUGAAUGAAGGAAUUGAUGUUUUUUAAGUGAUGUUACAGUAAUACGGCCCUUGAGGUGAGCAUUAGCCACUUUCUGUUCAUGAGAAAAACUAAUAUUUCAUGAGCAUUAAUAGUCGGUGACCUAAAUGGUUACGCAACCUACAAUACAAUAUAUAAAAGAGACUCUUUAUGGACUUGGGCAACCGGCAACGAGAAAACGGCGAUGAUGGAGGUACACAAGACGAGGGGAGAGAGCCGCAGGAGAGGUCGACAACAAGGAGGCUCGGUCGUAAGUGUACCAUCCAGCAAGGAGGCAUUAAGAUUGAUUCGCACUAUCUGAAGUACUGUGCUUUAUUUGCGACGAGGCACCACCUCUAUACCAGGUUCUUAAAUUCUUCCAGAUCUUUAUUCUUAUUGAUCGGUUCUAAUUUUUUUCUGACUAUACUGUCUCUUUACGAACAAUAUAGUGCCGAAACGUCAAUGCUAAAGUCCCUAGUGCAAAUAAAGCACUCGACAUACCCCUUCGAGCGAGCCUUCUCCUCUUCACCAUUUCAUCUUCCGUUAGAGGAACAGUAGCGUCUGCUCUGUGCGCGUGGAUUUGCCGGCUAGCUUUAAUGAUGAUACUAUACUUUUGUAAAAUGAAAGCCUACUUUUGUUCAAUAUUCAUGUUGAUGCGAAUGUUACAGUUGAUGUUGUGAACAUCGUAUUGUAUGCAAAACGUGUAUUAUAUGUUGCAUUUUCGUCAAAGACAAUGUAUAAUUUGCUUGUAUAUUAAUAAAAAGAUCCCUUUCUUUACAUCUUUACAUUCUUACACCAACGAUUUUUCUUGCAAUGGUUAGAGACUCAUUGCACCAUUUAGUCAAUUUAUUACACUAAUUGGUGAACUACCACACAAUUAAGUUUACAACGUUAAACGCAAUUUAUUACACCAUUUAGGAAGUAUGAUUUUUAAAGAGAUGUCUGACUAUUAUCUUCUUUAAUAAAUCAUGCGUUUUUAAACCAUUGCACUGGCUAUUAUCGGCGUUUAAACCAUUUUAAAGAGAUGUCUGACUAUUAUCGGCAUUUAAAGGUGCACUAUUAUUAUAUCCACCUCUCGAACGCACCCUUACAAGCUUAGUACGAGUCUUUUUCAAACCAUUGCACUGAUAUUACUACCGUAUUGCACUCUUACAAGUUUCGUUGCACUCAUUUUUAAAUCCGUUGCACUGUUAUUAAGACCGUAUUGCACUCUUACAAGCUUCGUUGCACUCUGUUGUAAAAUAUUGUUCUGUUAUUCACACCGCCUUGCACUUAUUAUAUAGUUAAAAGAACGCGUGAUCUUUUAUGAGAAAACUUUACACAAUCGUUAGCCGUUAUGUCGCGCCUCUCGAACUCCGGACCUCGCCGGCGACCGUCCAAACCCACCGCCGAGCUUCUCAGCACACCGACUCUUAUAUGGCACAUCGCCGACCGUCCUACCCCGCAGCCGAUCGUCCUGCGCCGCGGACGCUUCGCCUGCAUUUGGAGGGGACACCAUUCAUUUGCACUUUUAAGUUCAGAUUAUAUUAAGAAAUAGAGAAAGUAAAAUUUUGAAUGGUUAUGUAGAGGUUGCACUAGAACGAUGCUAUGGAUGCACUGUUAGAAGGGCCGUUGCACCAUUUCUCCUGCCAUAGAACCUUCGCGUUGCACUAUUAUCCCUGGCGCGCGGAGGUGAAGUCGACACGGCGGCGGCGGCGAUAAAGACGUCGUGGAGCCUCCUCCCACUCCGCCCCGAUAUUAUCGACGGCCCCCAUGUCCUUUCAUUUGCACUAUUAGCUUAAGAUUACAUUAUGAAAUAAAAUAAGUAAAAUUUUGACUGGUUAUGGAGAGGUUGCACUGGAACGAGGCUACGGUUGCAUGUUAGAAGGUUCGUUCCACCAUUUCUCCUGCCGUAGAACCUUCGCCUUGCACUAUUAUCCUUGGCGGGCGGAGGUGAAGCGCCACGGCGGCGGCGGCAAUAAAGAGGCGGUGGAGCCUCCUCCUACUCCGCACCCAGUGUUUGCUGUUCAGUCUCUUCUCCGACGCCUCUGCUUCCUGAAACCAUUGAACUAUUCUGUCAACCACAUUGCACCAUUACAAUCACAGUUGUAGUCUUUUACCCUACGUUGCACUGUUAGAAGGGCAGUUGCACCAUUUUUCCUGGCGUUGCUUCUUCAUGUUGCACUAUUAUCCCUGUUGCGGGGAGUGCAGUUUUUGUCAUUUAUCUUGAGAAAUUGUAUUAAAGUCUUAAAGCCGAACAGCAAACAGCGGGGCCGGCGAAUAGAGGGGCGGAUGUGGUUCAGGUUCCGAGAAAUGAGAGAGGUUGCGUAAGGCGGAAGCGGCGUAUUUAAUGCCCGCCAGACCGUAGGGUAGGGUAGUAUACGUAUGUCAAAAAAUACGCGGGCGGCUUUUGUAUACGAUGGGCAUUUUGGUCUGGCGGACGAAAAAGCGGACCGAAUCUGCAAAAACGAAAAAGGUGGCUUGGUUUUGCAAAAGCCCAAAAUAAGUUUUAUGCAAAAUGGCCUUGGUUAUUUAACCAGAUGUAAUAAUUUUAAUUAUCUUUGGUCAUUUUAAUUAAUUCAUUAAUAAUUUUACCAUAUUCAAUAAUUUUAAUUAUCUUUAGUCAUUUUAAUUUAACUAAGUAUAAAAAUUUGUAAUGUACCGAACUUUGGAUAAACUAAUAAUGUGCAGAUUAAAUCAUGCUAGACGUGAUUGAAAUGAAUUUUUAGAAGUUUAGACUGAGUUUGGAUUGAAUUCAAAUCAAUUCGGAUCGAAUUGGAGUUUCGAAAGAGAAUAAAACUGAGUUCUAGACCUUUCGGACGCCCGGAAUAGGGUUUCGAGCGCUCAAAAUGGUUUUUACGGCCCGAUGCAGUGCCCGGAAUAAGUGGAUUCAAAAGAGCAAAGUUUGUGAGAGGCCCACUUUCGGGCGCCUGGAUUGUCCUGUCGGCACCCAGAUCUUUUCGGAUAUCAUCUGAGGGCGUCUAGAACCCCUUCGGACUCCCAAUGCAAGAGCUGGAUUGCAAUGGACAAAAUAUUCCAGCGUCCAAAAUGCCUUGCAGGAACCCGAAACAUCUUUCGGGCGGUCCCUUGCGUGCGUUUGAAUGGUUUUCGAAUGCUCAACCGGGAGCGGUAUUACGUGAUGGAAUAAACAAUAUGUAAGGAAGUGAAUCCUCGAAAUCCGAGAGUUGAACUUCGACCAGAAUCGACUAUUUGUCGAGUAGGUACCCUUCGGAAAGGCUAAAGAUGUCCAAAACACAAAAGUGCUUUGGAGUCGAGUUCACGAGAGCAAGAAAUGUGAAAAUCUGCACCUGACAUAUUUUGCUCUCGGGGACCGGUCCCUGGCAGGGAAAAACCGGUCCCCGAACUGAGGGAUGCAGCAGCGCGCGAUGCAACCGGUCCCUGGGCCUGAGGGACUGGUUCCCGAACUCGUAAACUUGGGGAGGUCCCAAGGGACCGGUCCCAGGCUGAAAGAUAUGGAUCCCGAGGAUCUAAAAGGUAAGUAACACCUAGAGGGGGGUGAAUAGGUGUAAAAACGGCAAACUCGAAAAUCUCGAUGCAAAUAAAACAAAGUAGCGGAAAAUAAAACAGCACACCGAGAAUUUAACGUGAAAAAACUCCAAAUCGGAGGGAAAAACCCACGGGACCGAUCACGCGAAGAAAAUCCACUAAGAAAACUUGAGUACAAGUGAUUUUGACAAAAAUACAUGACUCAAUUUACCGAUUUCUUGUUGAUGGUGAUCUUCGCCGGUCCUCGAUCGAUAGGAAUCCACCAAUCGACCUUGCUGCAACUCCUCGCAGCGUCAACGCCUCAACUCCUCGAAGCGUCCACCGAAUCCUCGGCUUCACGCGAAAUCCACGCGCCGAACCUCCUUCCGGAGCUUGUAGAAUCGAAGAUUUGUGAUGAUUUAACCUUUGAAUACCAUAAGCUAUGAGGGUUCACCUUUAAUCAAAAAUCUACUUGAUUCUCGUAUGAGUUAUCGAGUAAAAACGAAGAAUCAAGCCGAUUGUUGAUUGUUAGAAACUCGUUAUGUGAAUCGAAGCAUUGAAACGGAAAAAAAAAGUUUCUAGGGUUUGAAAUCAGUAAAUAUUCAAAGCCUUAGAUUUUAGAUGACCCCCAUAACUUAUUUAUAUGUUUAGAAGACUUAGAAAUAGACUAGGAUUGCAAAAAGUCCUUUUUAAAAACCUGUGUCGUCCUCAGAGACCGGUCUUCUCGAGGAGACCGGUCUGUGAGAGACCGGUCUCUCAAGUGAGGAACCGGUCCCUCACUGCGUGACCAAAAUCACAACGUUCGGGAACCGGUCUCUCAAGCUUGAGACCGGUCCCUCGCUGCGCGACAGAAAUACCAAGGUUCGGGAACCGGUCUCUCAUCUCAGGGGACCGGUUGCAUCAAAGCUCACGCAGUGAGGACCUUAGGGGAACCGGUCUCUUGACCUCAGGGACCGGUCUCCAAGUCCUCAAACCCCGUCAAGUCCUCGGGUCGGGUCUCCACACACUCGGCGUACUAUCGAUCUCGCGAUCCAAUACGUGGCGUUCCACGCACUCGGGUCUAAUCUCGGACUACCGUCCUGACCAAAACUCCGCCCUACCUAUAGGUAUCAGGCCGCUGUCUCUCACAGCUGACUGCGCCUGCCCAAUGGGCCCAGGCUCCAUAGUCUACAAAUGGUCCAGGCACGGGUCGUCCCCAAGCACUACCCGCCAACGUCGUCCUAUACGACAUGCUCUACAGAGCUAUCAACUCUAGCGACUCUUAGGCACCUAGUGCGAACCACCAGCCCUGAUGAGCGAUCCAUGGCUCGCUUCAUACUUAGCCCUGCUGAAGUGCUACUGCCAAUUCACUCGACCGGCUGAAUCGAAGCCGUACCUCACGAGUAACUAUACUCGAGCACUCUACGCCUCUACGGCGUCUCAUACAAAUCCAGCAUCAGGCAGCUUAGCCUAUGCACACUGGCCACACGAGCAAUAACUCGUCCACCUCAAUUCGAGGUACUACUAGGCCCACAGGCCAAGCUCGGCGCUAAUCGACCAAUUUCGCAGCAGUGGUUCACCCCCGCUUUUCGAUCUAUCGAAUCCACACCCGAACUACUCUUAGAAUAUUCGGGUGUCCCCGAACAUCAAGGCUCAACUCUCACAAUUUCUAAUCUAUUGCAUCUAGAGUUCACUCACAAUCUUGAUUUCCAUUACGAGCCUCGUUUCCUGUUCAAAAUCAUCACUAGCCAUUUGCUAGUACCACUUGGCUUUCUACCUGCUCUAGCCGGCGCUACACUCUCAUCCUGCUAGCAUGCUCGGGUACCUACCGACCCGACCGCUUGGUCCCUACUAAGCAAUGUAAUAAUAGUAGCAACUGACCAAUGAUGAAUGCAUGCUAUGCUUUAACUUGAGAUCAUGCAAAAAUAUGCUUGCUCAAUAGCUCAUACCAGCCAUGACGUCGUCAGCACGGCAGGCCCCGCACCUCGGGUCGCUUAUCCAUGGCCACCCGGCGCUCGUCGCGAACCCUUUGGUUGCAACGUCCUCAACGGCUGCUCUCCUGACCGUGCCGUAGGUGGCAUACCCGCGGGCUGUCCCAGAGAAGAAUAGGCCGUCGCUAGUGUCAGGGCCCGGCUAUCACCUUGCGGACACUCGUCCCGGACAUGGCCCGGCAGCCCACACUUGAAGCACUUGCCCUCACGCUGUUCACACUGUUGUGGGAAAUGAGAGCUCCCACAAAUCACACAUCUCGCCGAGGACCGAAUGUGGUACGUCCCCGGAGCUCUAGAUCGAGAGCGCAUCCUCACCGAGGUCUGUUGGGAACUUGACUGACUAUCAUGUCCACUUACUAGCCAUCCCUUUCCCUUUUCCUUGUAAUGCUCCUCGCGCUUCUCCCGCAGGAAUGCAUUGCCUUGUUCUAUCCAUAAGGCCCGAUCUAGGACUUCAGCAAAAGCCUGCAACUUAAGUACCUGCACUGCAAGGUACAAGUCCGGCCGAAGCCCCCGCACGAAGCAGUCAGCCUUAUCCUUGUCAUCCCGCACCACGUUCGGGACACAAUGCACGAUACGGAAAAAUUCCCACUCGUACUGCUUGACUGUGCGACUUCCCUGCCGCAGCUUAAGAAACUUCUCUUGAAGCUUUCUCUUCUCGCUAUUGGGGAAAUAUGCUGAGAACAUCGUUCCCCGAAACUCUUCCCACACUAUAGGAGGGAGACUAGGCAGUCUAUCUCGCUUGACGCCUUUCCACCACACCUUCGCCGAUUGCUUCAGGUAGUGCACGGCUAGGUUUACUUUAUCUCGCUCCAACGUGUAUAGAUCCUCGAAGAGUGUUUCCAUGGACUCGAUCCACAUCUCAGCAACCCACGGAUCUGCAUUUUCUCCAUCGAAGGUAAGCGGAUCAAAUUUCUUGAAAGUCAUGAGGGCCGCUAAAGCACGCUCCCUUUCCGCCGCAACCUCUGGGCUAACAAGGGUCGGGUCACCCUCCCCCAACUGAAACGUCUCUGCUGCAAUUCCCGGCUGUCCUCGACCAGCCGCGACUGGUGCCGCCACCAGUCGAUCCAUAGUUUCUUGGAGUCGUUCCAUUCGCUCCUCUUGGCGCAUAGUAGCCUCCUGCUGCCGUUGCACCACAUCAGCUUGUUGCCGCAUCACUCCAAUGAGUGUGGCCAAUUGAUCGCGAAGCUCCGAGUCUCCGCUCGCAUCGGUUUGCUCAGGGGCGCCACUUGUCCCCUCCCGCGCCGAUCCGGACGAAGAUCGCCUACGCGGUGCCAUCAUUUUCUGAAACAGGACAGCUCGAUUAGCUCUCGACCAACUCGGGUCGAACACGAGACCACUAAUACCAGCACAAAAGCGAAUCAGGCGAAAGUCAAAUAAGGACGUCUAUUCUCGUCACUUGGCUUUAUGUUGUGCAUGCACAACAUAAACACACUCGGUCGAGAAUAAACCAUACCUUGAGUCUACCUCUAAUAUCUGUCUUAGAGGUUAUGACACAACCCAAUCCAUUACCUUUCGCCACAAAUCACAAGUCCUCGUCUCUCACGAGCCUUAUUCUCCUAUGGUUCCACUAUCCUAGGGUCUCCUAGGUCAUCUAAACCAUUUUCCCAUUUUCUACUUUAUUCUCUGAUACCACUUUAUCUGUCACGCCCCGUGACCAACCGCCAAUUUGGACCGCGUCGCGGCGCUGCUAACAGACCGCCAAACGGACCGGGAUUUUCCCUGUACGCGGACAGAGUCUCCCCUGUACGUUCUAGGCGUCACAAUCCAAACAAUACAACGAGUGUUCCAACUAGGAACAGAUAACAAUCCAGAUUGCAAAGGAAGUAUCAAAUACAUAAAACUAACGGCUAUUACAAGCAUUCAUUCACAUUCACUUAGUACACCUCAGUUCAGUUUACAUUUUUACUUCCAAUUACAAUCACAUUAUUACGUCAUUUAAUUUACAAGUUUGAUACGUCUUGGUUCUUGCCUUCUAGUCCCCUAAGCUAGACUGCCUCAGGGUACUGCUACCUCGGUCUCUGUGGUAGGGUGCUAUCUACUGAGCUACGCCCUCACCUCGCGCCACCGCGCUGCACAUGUACAACCUGAAAACACCCCAAAACCACGUGGGGUGAGAACCAACUCCAUGGUUCCCAGUGGGUACGGCCACCCAAGGGAAAAGCUCGACCGAUAGGUCCGAGGAGGCACUGCAACAUGUUAGUUCAACAAUAUACCACAGAUAUAUAUAUAUUCAAUUGAAAUACAUGCCAUGCCUCACAAUAUGCGACAUGAAAGCCAUGCAACUUUAUGCAACAUCUAGUAGAUCAUUUGAUUCUACACUUUACUUAGCUACUCUUGGCUCAUAACUUUACUCUAAGGUCUCCAUUACCUCAGGAUGUCAACUCAGUCCACUGGCUUCUAAGGUCUCUAUUACCUUAGCUCAAGCCUCUAUCUCUAGCUCAUAAGGGUUCUUCUACCCUAUCACAGCUAGCCACACGACUCGGCUCCGAGUCAAUCAUCCGCGGAUAGCCCGCCCACUGGCUGCUCAUCAGCCUACCGCCCUCUCUGUCUCAGCCCCCUAGCGGCGAAGUCAUCGCACACGCUAAGCUCGGCUCAAGUCGCACGACUUGACCAUCUGGUGGCGAUCGCGUUGCACUUACCCAGCGUGAGCUCGAGUCCUGACACAUCGUCUGGCGACGAACGAAUCGCACCACACCCAACAACGGUACAUGUCAGACUCAGUCACCUAGAGGCAUCCACAUCGUACUUACCCAGCAUGGAUUCAGUCUGCUCUGGCGGUCUGAUCCUCAAAUGGCUUAACCAUCCUGGCGGCGAAAUCGUCGCACAAACACUAUGGCAAUGGUUCAAGCCCCGGGCGGUGAUCUCCAUGUGAUCGCCCCCAAUCCUCCCUCGGUACCAAGCUCGGCGGCGAAGUCGUCGCACAACGCCCUAGCUUCUACCAGGGUCAUCACAAGUCAUGGGAUUCCAGAAUCCACUUUCCACAGGUCGAGGGUCCAUAGCCAACCCUAUACUUUCGACCUAUCUCAUCCUAGUGGCUAUACCACUAUACUCAUCAACCUAGGUUCCAAUACUCUAGGUUCUAUGUCCACGUCACUUAACCUAGAUACACUUACUAGGUUCUUGUCAUCUUUGCCUAGAUGUCCACUUCUAGGUUUACUAGUUCGACCUAGGUUUACUAACACUAGGUUCGAUGCCACACACCUAGAUUGUUCGACUCUAGGUUCACUUGUUUAACCUAUGUUCUUUAACACUAGGUUAGAUGCCACUCGAUCUACCUGACAACCUAGUUGUCCAAUCAACUCUACUCACACUAGAGUUAUUAACUCAUGCUUUCUACUUGGCAUUUACUCUAUGCAUCUGUUCCUCAUGCAUUCUAUUUAGCAUUUCCAUCUAUGCAUUACUAUUAGUAUGCAUUCUUUACAUUAGCUAGCAUCAUUUACAUGUCAUGCUUUCAUGCUUGCUACUUACCAUGCAUUCUUUACUUAGCCUUUACUUUAUGCAUUAUUAUUCAUCAUGCAUUUCUUGUCCUUGUCUACAUGCACAUGCAUCAACAUGGAGAUACAUUGCUAAGACAUAAAGGGCGACCUAGUCGUUUCGGUAAGUACAACCCACCUUAGCUAGCUUUUUCGAUUGCUCGUCGACACUUGCAAUCGGCCUCCCGCGGCACUCGGCACCCGUUCGGGCCCGAUCUCACAGUUGCUCCCCUCGAGCACGCCGCUUCGCCGUUUCAAGUGCUAGCGAUCUUCCCCUUGCCGCUACGGUGCUCGGGACCCGGUUUCACGAUUUAUGGACGUGGCCUCGACCUCCGAGGUGGAAAUGAAGCUUCGAGCGCCCGUUUCUUCAAUAUCUUCGCAAUGGCUUGUCGGAUUGCCGAACCGACUUCGCCAACGUGUUUCUUUACCUACCAAUUAGGUUUACGAAAGGUCAAAUGAGAUCAAACUCAUCUAUUUACAAAAACCCCAUUUUGAUGCCCUAGAAUGCCAUCACUAGCAAAUCCACCAAAUCGAUCUAGGAUUUGGAUAUAAUCCAUCAAAAUAGCCAGCUAGGGUACCAAACAAACCAUUUCUAGGGUUUAAAAACCCAUCUACAAAGAUCUACCAUGAGAGGGCUUGGAAGCUUACCUCUCAAAGAGCUCCAUGGAGAGAAGAAGAUGAAGAUGAAGAUGAGGAAGAGGAUCUCCUCCUUGGUCCUCUUCUUCUUUUCCUUUCCUUUCUCUUUUCUUCUUCUCUUCCCUUUUCACUUUUCUUUCUUUUCUUCUUCUCCUCCCUUGCACGAUCGGAGAGAGGGAGAGAGGCUGAGGGAGAGAGAGAGAGAGAGGAAAAGGUCUCUCUAAUACCCUCUCUCAUUUUAUAACAAAAUGCUAAGAAGCCCCCAACUUUUCAUCUUUUACCCAGCCCUCACUGGGUGUUCUACGCGCUGAGGGAUCGGUCUCCCCGACCAGGGCCGGUCCCCGAGAGCUCUCCCCGAUUCCACGCGUUCGGGAACCGGUCCCUCCCUGAGAGACCGGUCCUCGAGAGACCGGUCUGCCCACCAGAGACCGGUCCACGAGAGCUCAUCUCGCGGGACUUAGCCAAUUUUCGGCUCUUCUUACUGGUGCCGUAGGCCGGGACCGGUCCCUCUUCUGCCAGGGACCGGUUGCAUCAGCAAUCCCGCAGCCUUCAGCUGAUGGGACCAGUCUCUCACCUCCAGAGAUCGGUCCCCGAGAGCAAUCUCAGCCCAAAAAUGCAGAUUGCAUUAUUUGCUCUCGCGGACUCCAUUCCAAUGUAUUUCUCGGUUUUUGUGCAUCCUUAGCUUUUCCAAAGCUUAUCCAUUCGAUCCUUAGUCGAUUCUAGACGAGGUGCAACCCUCGGAUUUCGAGAGUUCACAUUGUUACAUUCUCCCGUCCUUAAAAGAGUUUCGUCCUCGAAACUCACUCAUUCUUACCCUCUUUUAUUCCUCGAUCCACUCCUCGAGUACUCAAGGGUUCCAAUGCACUUUUGUACUUCGGAGUGGCCUUUAUUCUCAUCGAACUCAUCUAAAGGCCCACGACGAAGAAUGUGAGACCACGUUUACUCACAUUUUCCUCUUGCAACAUCAAAAGUGCAUUAUCACUUUACAAACUUCACUGGCGGUGUGGGUCAGUAUUCAAGACCCCACACACUAACUUCACUAGCCACUCGGCUAGAGAAGGACCUAUUCCCUCGCGGUUCUAGCGAACAUCACCACCAUUCGAGAUCAGGGCUACCCUUUCAUCCCAGUGGUGUGGAUCCAGCAAGAUCGCAUCACUUCGAUGAAUGAUCCACCACCACAUCUCUAUAUGCACGGGUAGACUUUCUCGAAUUGCUCAAGUACCCACUAGGUGGCACUUUGCCACUUUGGCUAUUUGGGAGCCCGAUACCACCUUAUUAUCCUAUCUGUACCAUCUCGUUCUCAGCGAUCGCAAGACGGCAUCCUCUCGCGCAUCCCAGAUUCUCAAUCCUCUUGAGAGCAUCAUUCUCAACGCCAACUCUUCGCGUGGUUAUCCAUUAUUCAAGUGUCUCUUAGAGACCACUUUACUUUCCCUUUAUCUCUUGACAUUUUAGGCCACGUUCAUCUCCACACGAACUCUUCGUUUGCGGAGACUCGGAGCUUCGCGAUCAGCUGGUCACACUCGUAGGGGUGAUGAGGCAACAAGCUGAUAUGGUGCAGUGGCAGCAGGAGGCUGCUACAUGCCAGGAGGAGCAAAUGAAAAGACUCCAGGAAGCGGUGGAUCAGCUGGUGGCAGCACCAGCUGCGGCUGGUCGAGGACAGCCAGGAGUCGCGACGGAGCUGUUUCCGUCGGGGUCGGGUGAUCCGACUUCUAUUAGUCCAGAGGUAGCGGCGGAGAGGGACCAAGCUUUGGCUGCCCUCAUGGCUUUCAAGAAGUUUGAUCCGCCUACCUUCGAUGGAGAAGAUACGGAUCCGUAGGUCCUUGAGAUGUGGAUCGAUUCCAUGGAAACCCUCUUCGAGAAUUUGUACACAUUGGAGCGAGACAAGGUAAACCUAGCCGCGCACUAUCUCAAACAGUCGGCGAAGGUGUGGUGGAAAGGCGUCAAGCGAGAUCGACAGCCUAGUCUCCCUCCUAUGUCUUGGGUAGAGUUUCAGGGGUUGGUAUUCUCUACUUAUUUCCCCGAUAGUGAAAAGCGAAAGCUCAAGGAAAGGUUCCUUAAGCUGCGACAAGGAGGCCGCACGAUCAGGCAAUACGAGUGGGAAUUUUUUCGUAUCGUGCAUUGUAUCCCGAACGUGGUGCGGGAUGACAAGGACUAAACCGACUGCUUCGUGCGUGGACUUCGGCCAGAUCUUUACCAGGCGGUGCUAAUGCUCAAGUUGCAGACCUUUGCUGAAGUCCUGGAUCGAGCCUUGUGGAUAGAGCAAGGCAAUGAAUUCCUGCGGGAGAAGCGCGAGUCGUAUUACAAGGAAAAGGGGAAAUGACGACCAGUGAGUGGACAUGAUGAUCAGUCAAGUUCCCAGCAGACCUCUGCGAAGUCGCGCUCUCGAUCUCGAGCUCCGGGGACGUAUCACAUUCGGUCCUCGGCGAGAUGUGUGAUUUGUGGGGGCCCUCAUUUCCCACAACAGUGUGAGCAGCGAGAGGGCAAGUGCUUCAAGUGUGGGCUAUCGGGCCAUAUACGGGACGAGUGUCCGCAAGGUGAUAGCCGAGCCUUGACACUGGCGACGGCUUAUUCCCCUCCGGGACUGCAGGCAGGUGUGCCACCUGCGGCAUGGUCAGGGGAGCAGCCGUUGAGGACGUUGCAACCAGAGGGAUCGCGGCGAACGCCAAGUGGCCAUGGAUAGGCGACCCAAGUUGCUGUGCCUGCCGUGGCUGACGACGUCGUGGCAGGUAUGAGUUAAUUAAGCAAUCGUAUGUUUUUGCAUAAUCUCAAGCUGUUGCAUUGCAUGCAUUCAUCAUUGGUCUGUUACUACUAUUGUCACAUUGCAUAGUAGGGACCGAGAGGUCGGGUAGAUAGGCACCCGAGCAUGCUAGCAGGAUGAGGGUAUAGCGCCUGCUAGAGCAGGUAGAGAGCGAAUGGUACUAGCAAAUGGCUAGUAGUGAUUUUGGAUAGGAAGCGAGGCUCGCAAUGGAAAUCGAAUGGUGAGAGAACUCUCGAUGCAAUGGAUUAGAAAUUGCGAGAGUUGAGCCUUGAUGUUUGGGGACACCCGAAUAUUCCAAGAGUAUUUUGGAUGCGGAUUCGGUAGAUCGAAUAGUGAAGAUGAACCACUGUUGCGAAAUGGGUCAGUUAGCGCCGAGUUUGGCCUGUGGGCCUAGUAGUACCUCGAGUUGAGGUGGGUGAGUUGUGCUCCUGUGGCCGGUGUGCAUAGGCUAAGUUGCCUGGUGCUUGGCGUAGUUGGGACGCUGCAGAGGCGUAUAGAGCGCUCGAGUAUAGACACUCGUAGAGUGCGGUUUCAAUUCAGCCAGUCGAGUGAAUUGGCAGUAGCACUUUAGCAGGGCUAAGUGUGAAGCGGGCCAUGGAUCACUCGUGAGGGCUGGUGGCUCGCACUAGGUGCCUAAGAGCCUAUAGAGUGCGUAGCUCUGUAGAGCAUGUCAUGUAGGACGACGUUGGCGGGUAGUGCUUGGGGACGACCCGUGCCUGGACCUUUUGUGGACUGUGGAGCCUGAGCCCAUUGGGCAGGUGCAGUCAGCUGUGAGAGAUAGCGGCCCGAUACCUAUAGGUAGUGCGGAGAGUUUUGGUCAUGACGGUAGUCCGAGCUUAGACCCGAGCACGUGGAAUGCCACGUGUUAGAUCGUGAGAUCAGUAGUACACCGAGUGUGUAGCAACCCGACCCGAGGAUUUGCCGGGGUUUGGGGACUUGGAUGCUCCUGGUUGGAGUAUGUGCGAAUUCUCCAAUGAGAAUGUCGCUCGAUAAUGAUUGGGUCUACGCUUGCGAGCGAGAGACGCUAGGCGUCGUUGAGGCGAGUUAGGCGACUAGCCUACGUAGGAUUGGUUGUCUUGGUCCACCUGAGGAAAAUGAUGGUUGGUGUAGCCGGGAACUCUAUUUAUGAGUCGGGCUUAGAUCCGCGAAUGAAGAGUUCGUGUGGUGUUGGACGUGGCUGUGGGGUCGAGGACAAGAAAGAGUAAUGUGGUCUCUAGGAGACACUUGGAUAAUGGAUAGCCAUGUGAGGAUUGGAAUUGGGAGUGAGAUGGUACAGAUAAGAUGAUAAAGUGGUAUCAGGCUCCCAAAUAGCCAAGGUAGUGAAGCGCCACCUGGUGAGUACUUUGAGUAAGUCGAGAGGGUCUACCCGUGCACGUAGCGUGGUGGUGUUGGAUCGUUCGUCUAGUUGAUGCGAUCUUGCUAGGUCCACACCACAGGAAACGAAGGGUAGUCCUGAUCUCAAGGGAUGGUGGUGUUUGGUGAAACCGCGAAGGAAUAGGUCCUUUUUUAGCCGAGUGGCUGGUGGUGUUGGGGUGUGGAGUCAUGAAUAUUGACUCACACUACUACCGAGGUUUGUAAAGUUGUAAUGCACUUUCGAUGUUACAAGUGGAAAGCGUGAGUACCUGGUCUAACAUCGUUCGUAGUGGGCCUUUGGAUGAUUACGAUGAGAAAAAGGCCACUCUGAAGUGCGAAAGUGCAUUGGAACCCUUGAGUACCCGAGAAGUGUAUCGAGGAAUAAGAAGGGGUUAGAAAUGAGUGAGUUUCGAGGACGAAACUCUUUUUAAGGAGGGGAGAAUGUAACAAUGUGAAUUCUCGAAAUCCGAGAGUUGCACUUCGUCCAGAAUCAACUAAUGGUCGAGUUGGUAAGCUUUGGAAAAGCUAAGGAUGCACGAAACCCAAAAGUGCAUUGAAAUGGAGUCCGCGAGAGUGAGAAUGCAAAAUCUGCAUCUUUGGCAGAUUUGCUCUCGGGGACCGGUCUCUGGCUGGAGAGACCGGUCCCAUCAGCUAAAGGCUGCGGGGUUGCUGAGGCAACCGGUCCCUGGCACCAGGGGGACCGGUCCCCGCAGGUGACACCAACGAGAAUGGCCAAAAAUUGGCCAAGUCCCGCGAGACGAGCUCUCGGGGGCCGGUCUCUGGUGGCUGGACCGGUCUCCGGGGGACCGGUCUCUCAGGGAGAGAUCGGUUCCCGAAUGCGUGGAAUUGAGGGGAGCUCUCGGGGAUCGGUCCCAGGUCAGGGAGACCGGUCCCUCCGCGCGCAGAAUGCCCAGUGAGGGCUGUGUAAGAGAUGAAAAGCUGAGGGACUUAAUAGCAUUUUGUUACAAUAUGAGAGGGGUUAUUAGAGAGGUGUUUUCUCUCUCUCUCUCUCUCUCUCUCUCACUCCCUCACACUCUUCCUCACUGUCUCUCUCUCUUGCUCCGAUCGUGAGGAGGAAAAGGAAAAGAGGAGAGGAAGGAAAGGAAAUAAAGAAAAAGAGAAGAAGAAAAGAAGGAGAAGAUGGAGGAGAAGAAGAGGAUCAUCAUCACCAUCAUCCUCUUCAUCUUCUUCUCUACAUUGAAGCAAGCCUAGAGAGGUAAGCUUGGUACCCUUUCAUGGUAGAUCCUUAAAGAUAGGGUUUUGAUCUCUAGAAAUGGUUAGAAUGGAACCCUAGCAUGCUAUUAAGAUGGUUUUUCCCCAUUUCAUAGAUCGAUUUGGUGGAUUUGGUAAUAAUGGCAUUCUAGGGCAUCCAAAGAGGGUUUUUGUAAAUAGAUGAGUUUGAUCUCAUUUGACCCUUCGUAAACCUAAUUGGUAGGUAACGAAACACGUUGGCGAAGUCGGUUCGGCAAUCCAACAAGCCGUUGUGAAGAUAUUGAAGAAACGGAUGUGUACAGCUUCGUUUCCGCCUGGAAGGCCAAGGCGACGUCCAUAAAUCGUGAAAUCGGGUCCCGAGCACCGUAGCAGCAAGGCAAAGACCUUUAACUCUUGAAACGGCGAAGCGGCGUGCUCUUGGGGAGCAACUGUGAAAUCGGGCCCAAACGGGUGCCCAGUGCCGCGGGAGGCCGAUUGCAAGUGUCGACAAGCAAUCGGAAAGCUAGCUAAAGGUGGGUUGUGCUUACCGAAGUGACUAGGUCGCCCUUUAUGUCUAAGCAAUGUAAUCUCAUGUUGAUGCAUGUAGACAAGACUAAACUGUGCAUGUUAAUGGUAAUGCUAAGUAGAAAGCAUAAUGAACAAUAUGAUAAUGCUAGAUAGUGCGUGAAUGCACAAGUAGUUGAACAUAUAUAUAUAUGCAUGUAAACUAAAUGAUAACUCUAGAAAUGUAGAGUUGAUUGGUAAUGAGACUCAAUUGGGUAACUAGGAUGUCAACUAGAUCGAGUGGCACCUAACCUAGUGUUAAAGAACAUAGGUUGAACAAGUGAACCUAGAGUCGAACAAGUCUAGGUGUGGCAUCGAACCUAGUGUUAGCAAACAUAGGUCGAUCUAGUUAACCUAGAAGUGGACAUCUAGGUAAAGAUGACGAGAACCUAGAGAUUGUGUCUAGGUUAUAUGACAUGAACAUAUAACCUAGAGUGUUAGAACCUAGGUUGUUGAGCAUAGUGGUAACAGCCACUAGGAGGAGCUAGGUCGACAGUAUAGGGUUGGCUAUGGACCCUCGACCUGUGGAAAGUGGAUUCCGGAAUACCAGGACUUGUGAUGACCUAGAUAUCAAAUCUAGGUCGUGUGCGACGACUUCGCCGCCAAGGUUGAUACCGAGGGAGGAUUGGGGGCGACCACAUGGAGAUCACCGCCCGGGGCUUGAACCAUUGUCGUGGCGUUUGUGCGACGAUUUCGCCGCCGGAUGGUUAAGCCAAUUGAGGAUCAGACCGCCAGGAUUGACUGAAACCAUUGCUGGGUAAGAACGAUGCGUGCGCCGCCAGGUGGCUGAGUCAUGACUUGUACCGUUGUUAGGUGAGGUGCGAUACGUUCGCCGCCAGAUGGUUAUUUCAUGACUCGAGUCCUCGCUGGGUAAGAACGCCAUGUUCGCCGCAAGAAUGGCUAUGUCAAGUGACUCGAGCCGAGUUCAGUGUGUGCGACUACUUCGCCGCUAAGAGGCUGAGUUUAGAGGGCAGCAGGUUGAUGAGCAGCCGGUGCGUGGACUAUCCGCGAAUGAUUGACUCGAAGCCGAGUCAGAUGGUUAGCUUCGAUAAGGUAGUGGAAACCCUUAUGAGCUAGAGAUAGAGGCUUGAGCUAAGGUAAUAGGGACCUUAGAAGCCAGUGGACUUGAGAGUGAACCUAAGGUAGUAGAAGCCUUAGAGUUGAUGAUAUGAGCUAAGAAUAACCAAGUAAAAUGUAGAAUCAAUUGAUCUACUAGUUGUUGCAUAAAGUUGCAUGAUUUUCAUAACGCAUAUCGUGAGGCAUGGCAUGUAUUUCAAUUUGAAUAUAUAUCUGUUGUAUAUUGUUGAACUAACAUGUUGCAGUGCCUCCUCGGAUCUAUCGGUCGAGCUUUUUUCUUGGGUGGCCGUACCCACUGGGAACCAUGGAGUUGGUUCUCACCCCACGUUGUUUCGGGGUGUUUUCAGGUUGUACGUGUGCGGCGCGGCGGCGCGAGGUGAGGGCGUAGCUUCGUAGAUAGCGCCCUACCCCGGAGACCAGAGCUAGCAGUAUCCCGAGUCAGCAGGGCCUAGGGGUUAGAAUGGAAUGACGACAACCAACUUGUAUUAAACAUAAUAACGUGAUUGUAUUUGGAAGUUAAGCAAAUGUAAAAGAAAAAUAUUAUUUGAAAUGAAUGCUUGUAAUAGCAGUUAGUUUUAUGUUAUUGGUACUUUCUUAUGCAAUCUGGAUUGAUAUCCGUUCCUGGUUGGAACAUUCGUUGAUUGUUUGGAUUGUGACGCCUUGGACGUACAGGGAAAACUCUGUCCGUUCGGCGGUCUGUCGGCGGCGCCGCGACCCGGUCCAAAUAGGCAGGUGGUCGCGGGUCAUGACAGUAUAAGCUUCGGAGAGUCCGGAGGUAAUUAAAAUGCAUAGAGUGCAUUAAGGAAGAGUCCGCGAGAGCAUUAGUGCAAAAUCCUCACUGGAGCAGAAUUGCUCUCGGGGACCGAUCCCUCGCAGGGAGGGACCGGUCCCAUCAGGCUGGGCUGGCGGAGAUCCUUGAUGCAACCGGUCUUUGGCAGGUAAGGACCGAUCCCCGAACGUUAACCCAGCGAGAGAAGCCGAAAUUUGGCUAAGUCCCGAAAAUCUAACUCUCGUGAACCGGUCUCUCGGACAAGGACCGGUCACCCGGGGUGGUCUCUCAGGCAAGGACCAGUUCCUGAAUGCGAAAUCCCCUCUGCCCGAAUAGGAGGCUCUCGGGGACUGGUCUCCCCGAGCUGGGACCGGUCCCUCACUGCGAAAAUGCCCAGUGAGGGCUGCUGCAGAGGAUGGAAAAGUUGAGGGGGCUAUGUGCAAAAUGGCUUAUAUGAGAGGUGGGGGACCCCUCUCUCCCUCUCAUUUGCUUUCUCUCCCUCUCACACUCUUUCCCUCUCUCUCUAGAAAGAAUAAAAGGAAAAGAAGAAGAAGAGGAAGAAGAAGAAGGAGAAGAAGUAGAGGAAGAAGAAGGAGAAGGCUAAGAAGAAGUAGAAGAUCAUCUUCUUCUCUCUCUCCCUCAAGCUUGAAGCUUUGUUUAGAGGUAAGCUCUAAACCCUUUAAUGGUAUUUCUAGGGUUUGGGAUUUUUGUUGCUUAGAGAUGGUUCGAAUGGAACCCAUCGAGGUAAAGGAGAUGGCUCAAGCUUGAAAUUGAAGCUCACACUACGGAUUUCCUCACCGUUGCCAACCUAGGACACGGAUUUGGGAUUUUUAGAAAUCUAGGGUUUUGAUCUAUUUUAUUAGGUCGUAAACCUAAUUGCUAAGUCUUCGAACGCGCAGGCGAAGACGGUUUGUCGAUCCGACGAGCGAGUGCGAAGAUAUCGCCGAAACUGAUACUUGAGGGUUCGCUUUGCCUUGAGGUGUUGAAGCGACGUACGAGGACCGCGACGUCGAGUUGUCUAGCCACGCGGCACUACCAAAAGGUGGGGGAGUGCCAUCCUGAAGCAGUCGAGCUGCUUUCUAUGUCUGAGUUAUUGUGUUGAUCAAUUACAUAUUAAACAUGUGGCAUAUAGGGAACUAAGUUAUUUAUAUCUAUAUUUGCAUGCUAGUGUUAAUGUGGCCUAGUGAUAUAGCUCUAGAACCUAGUAUGCAUGAGCCGGAUAUGAGGUGGUGAACCCUAUAUGUGUUGGAUGUACAUGUAGCUAUGAAAACCUAGUACAUUGUGGACUAGAGUAUCGAGAACUUGUCAGAGAACGAGUGGCAUCUAGUUAACAAUGAACACAAACUAUUGGCAUCUUGUUGAUAUUGAACAUAAGAACCCUAGUGUAGUCAAAACACUAUGAGCUUGGGUAUUGGGAUGCUUGAUUCUAUGAUGACACCAACCUUAGUUGGUAGGACCAGUUCGUGAGUUCAGAUUAUACUCACAUAGCCUGUCUGCACUUGUAGGGGUCGCUCCCCAUAGCCUGUGCACUCCGGAGUAUUUGUCACUCGAGGGGCAGUCGCCAUGCGCUGCCUGGACAGUCAGUGUAUCUGUCCGCAGGCGGUCUCGGGGAAUAGUUCAGCGAGGCUUUUCCCUAUGAGACUUAUAAACGUGAGAUUGUGUUGCCGGAUUGAUCGAAUGAUUGGGUAAAGUAAUGAACAACCCUUAUUGUUGAGCAUAGUAGUAUGGUAGCUACGAAUUCGGUAUGAAUGACAUGCAUGCAUGAUUCAAGAUUGAGGCAUAGUCAGAUGCUCAUACCUAUACUUGCUUAUUCCUCGUUAAUGUUUUCAAUCCCAUAUAUCUAUCUAUCUGCAUAUCUAUCUGUGCCUGCUUAGACCUAGUGGGAAGAUCGGCAGAGUCGGCGGCCGAACGCACUGGGAACUAUUCGUAGUUCGCAUCCCACUUUGUUGCAGGUCUGAGUUCGAGUGUCCCCGGCGAGCGCGAGGACCGUGGCAAGGGCAUAGCGCCCUAGUGGUAUAUGUACAUAGCUAGCUCUACUUCCUUUUGCAUUAGCCCUACCCUGUACUUAUGUUUGAGAGUAGAUGUUGUAUAGGGUGAGGUUUGAGAGUGAUUGUACAUAUGAUCUGGAUGAAUGUAAAAGAUGAAAUAAUUGUAUAAAGUUAAAUGAGUUUAGUAGUUAAGUACAUCUCUCUUUUAUCACUUGUAUGCUUUACUUGUGUUGCUUGCUCUUGGUUGAUAAGCACUGUUUGUGCUUCGUCGUCGUUGUUUGAUCAUGUAUGUAGUCAAGUGUAUUUUCUAGAAACUUGUAUACAUGAUCUCGUUAUUUGAGCCUUGGGCGGAUAGAGGAGUUGUUGUCCGUUCGGCGGUCCGUUCGUCGCGCCCGAACCAGACCAAACUGGUAGCGGGCUCGGGGCGGGGACGUGACACAACGAUUGAUUGCAAGAGCAGAGUGAUUACAUUUCGUGAGUCGGGACAGAAGGAGUUCAUUUAUCGGGCUUGUCAGAGCUCGUGCUUCGUUGCGACAGUAUCGGCGACGAGAGCAAGAAAGCUGGUCAACAGCGGUUGCGCAGCAUUCUUGGCAACCGUUGUAGAAGUGGACCAAGUGGCUCCGACCUUGGAGGAGUUAUCGGUGGUGCGGGAGUUCUCGGUGUGUUUCCCGCGGAGUUACCGGGGAUACCGCCGGACAGGGAGAUCGAGUUUGUCAUAGACUUGGUUUCCGGUACCGCACCGAUCUCGAAGGCUCCAUACCGAAUGGCAUCGGCGGAAGUGAAAGAGUUGAGGAGUCAACUGCAAGACCUUCUCGACAAGCAGUUUAUCCGGCCAAGUGUAUCACCGUGGCGAGCCCCGGUGUUGUUUGUACGGAAGAAGGACGGAUCGUUUCGACUCUGCGUGGAUUACCGAGAAUUGAACAGAGUCACGAUCAAGAACAAGUACCCACUACCCCGAAUCGAUGAUUUGUUCAACCAGUUGCAGGGGUCGUGUGUGUACUCAAAAAUAGAUUUGCAGUCCGGCUAUUACCAGUUGAAGAUCAAGCCGGAGGAUGUGCAGAAAACUGCGUUCCGUACGCUGUACGGACACUAUGAAUUCACAGUCAUGCCAUUUGGACUCACGAAUGCUCUAGCGGCGUUCAUGGACUUGAUGAACCGUGUCUUCAAGAAGUAUCUGGACUGAUUUGUCGUAGUCUUCAUAGACGACAUAUUGGUCUAUUCUCGCAGUGACGAGGAACAUGCCGAGCAUUUGAGAAUAGUGCUUCAAGUUCUUCGGGAGAAGAAGCUAUAUGCUAAGUUAAAAAAGUGUGACUUCUGGCUCUGAGAGGUCGCAUUUCUAGGGCAUGUAAUUUCCGCGGGUGGAGUUUCUGUAGACCCGAGGAAAGUUGAGGCAAUCAAGGAUUGGCCGCGCCCGACGAAUGUCACGGAGGUUCGAAGCUUCGUGGGCUUAGUGGGCUACUAUAGACGGUUCGUGGAGGGCUUUUCGAAGUUAGUAAUUUCACUUACCCAUCUGACUCAAAAAGGCACCAAGUUCGUCUGGAGCGAGGAAUGCGACCGGAGUUUCAAAGAAUUGAAGCAAAGAUUAACUUCGACUCCGGUGCUCGUUCUACCAAUACAAGGCAAAGACUUCGUGGUCUAUAGCGAUGCUUCCUAUCUAGGAUUGGGGCGUGUCCUGAUGCAGAGCGGGAAGGUGAUCGCUUAUGCGUCCCGUCAGCUGAAGAGCUAUGAGAAGAAUUACCCCAUUCAUGAUUUGGAGCUAGCGGCGGUAAUCUUCGCCUUGAAGCUGUGGCGGCACUACUUGUAUGGUGCCCACUGCGAGAUCUACAUCGACCACAAGAUCAUGAAAUAUCUGUUCACACAGAAAGAGCUCAACAUGCGACAACGACGGUGGUUGGAACUGCUAAAAGAUUAUAAUGUGGAUAUCCUUUACCACUCAGGAAAAGCGAAUGUGGUCGCGGAUGCGCUGAGCAGGAAAUCAGCGGAGAACCUCGCUAUGUGGGUUACGAAUCAAACGCCCCUAUGGCUGGACAUGGAGAGAAUGGAUCUUGAGGUGGUUGCUCCCGAGAUUCCGGCCCAGUUGAUGGCGCUCGUUGCCCAACCGACCUUGUUGGAGAGGAUCAAAGAUCUGCAACCUGCAGACCUAGAACUUCAAAGGGUGCGGCGAAACAUCGAGGAGGGUCAAGGCGGCAAUUUCAGUAUGGACGUCGGUGGUACACUUCAGUUUCGAAACCGGUGGUGUGUGCCCAAAAAUGGAGAGCUUCGCGAGCUAAUUCUACAAGAAGCGCAUCGGUCUCCAUAUGCUGAUCACCUGGAGGGUUGAAAGUGCACUAUUGGUGGCUGGGAAUGAAAAGUGAUAUUGGACGCUUCGUUGCUAAGUGCUUAGUAUGCCAACAAGUGAAGGCAGAGCGCCGAUUUCCAGCGGAAAAGCUUCAAAGCCUUCCAAUCCCCGUUUGGAAAUGGGAAGAUAUAUCGAUAGACUUCGUGGUCGGCUUGCCUCGCUCAACUGGCGGCCACGAUGCAAUUUAGGUAAUUGUGGAUCGUUUGACGAAGUCGGUUCACUUUUUGCUGAUCCACACCACAUGGGUAGGUGACAAACUGGCGCAGGUAUACCUUGAUGAGAUAGUGAGGUUACACGGGGUGUCGAAAUCGAUCGUGUCGGAUCGUGAUCCCCGGUUACCUCGCACUUUUGGAAAAGCCUGUAGGAAGCCCUUGGCACACGGCUCGAUUUUAGCAAAGCAUUCCAUCUUCAGACAGAUGGGCAAACAGAGAGAACCAUUCAAACUCUGGAGGAUAUGUUGCGAGCGUGUGUCAUAGACUACAAGGGAAGUUGGUGUGAUCAUCUGCCGAUGGCCCAGUUCGCCUACAACAAUAGUUAUCAUGCUAGUGUAGAGAUGGCACCGUUCGAGACUCUCUAUGGGCGGAACUGUCGAUAUCCUAUACACUGGGGCGAUGUGGGUGAGCGUGCGGAGUUCGGCCCUGAUGUUUUGCUAGAAGCGGAGGAGAAAGUCCGCCUUGCUCGCAAGAGGUUGCUCACGACGUAGUCGAGACAGAAAAGCUAUGCUGAUAGGCAUCGUCGAGACUUGGAGUUCACAAUAGGCGACCACGUAUUCUUGAAGGUCUCACCCAUGGGGGGUGUAAAACGAUUCGGAGUUCGGGGAAAGUUAAGUCCCCGAUACAUCGGACCUUACGAGGUAUUGGAGCGAAUUGGGACCGUGGCUUAUCGGCUUGCGUUGCCGCCAAAGCUCGCAGAUGUGCAUAACGUGUUCCACGUCUCCUAUCUUCGCAAAUACAUUCAUGAUCUCGAGCAUGCUCUAUUGUACGAGCCACCGGAGCUCCAAGAGGAUUUGAGCUAUGAAGAGUUUCCGGUGGGGGUUAUUGCUCAAGAAGUGCGAAAGCUACGAAAUCACGAGAUUCCUUAUGUGAAGAUUCGGUGGAGCAAUCAUGAUGAUCGCGAGACCACCUGGGAACUCGAGGAUCUGAUGAGAAAGCACCAUCCUCACUUAUUUGAGGAAUAAGGUAUGAAUUUGAGUUAAAGUUGAGAAUUGAAUUAGUUUCGAGGACGAAACUCCUUUUAAGGAGGGGAGGAUGUAAGGAAGUGAAUCCUCGAAAUCCGAGAGUUGAACUUCGACCAGAAUCGACUAUUUGUCGAGUAGGUACCCUUCAGAAAGGCUAAAGAUGUCCAAAACACAAAAGUGCUUUGGAGUCGAGUCCACGAGAGCAAGAAAUGUGAAAAUCUGCACCUGACAGAUUUUGCUCUCGGGGACUGGUCCCUGGCAGGGAGAGACCGGUCCCCGAACUGAGGGAUGCAGCAACGCGCGAUGCAACCGGUCCCUGGGCCUGAGGGACUGGUUCCCAAACGCGUAAACUUAGAGAGGUCCCAAGGGACCGGUCCCAGGCAGGGAAAGACCGGUCCCUCCUCGCGAAAUCUGCCCAGGCAGAGUAAGUUGAGAGGGUUAAAGUAGAGGGGCUUUUAUGCAAAAAUGCUAUUAGUUAGAGGGGUAUAGAGGGGCUGAGCCCUCUCCUCUCUCUCACCCUCACCCUCACUCUCUCACUCAGCUCUCUCUCUCUCUAGAAAGAAAAUAGAAGCAGAAGAAAGAAAAGAGAAGGAGAAGAGAGAAAAGAGAAAAAGAAGGAGGAGAAGAAGAAGAAGGAGGAGAUCAAGCUAGAGAAGGCUUGGAGCAUCUUACUCUUCCUCUCCUCUCCCUUAGAGCUAACCUAGAGGUAAGCUCUUGAGCCCUAAUAGUAUAACUUAGGAUUUUUGGGUUUUUGGCUUUGGAAAGGAGGUCAAAUGGACCUCUAGCACCAUUAGUGGUGGAUUAGAGCUAGAGGCUGGGGUUCCUUAGUGCAAAUGGCAAGCUGUGAACCCUAGGGCACCCGAAUUGGGAUUUUUGAUAAAGUAUGAGAUUGAUCUUAUUUGAGGGCAUAUAAACCUAAUUGCUAGGUGUCUAAACCCGGGGGCGAAGUCGGAAUUUCGAUUCGUCGAGCGGGGAAAAAGCUAUCGGCAAAAUAAGGCCGAUUGAGCAUCAUUUUGGACCAAGGAGGCCGAGACCUCGUCGUAACGUUCGGCGAGAGGCAUAUCUAGAACCUCUGCAACAAGAAAAGGUGGGGGAUGUCAUCCCGAAGCAGCCGAACUCUCUAUUAUGUCUUAGAAUAACAUGAUUUACAUCUCUUGCAUGUUGCAUUGUAGGAUUGUAUUGUAGUACCUUUUCCUUAUACUUCUAAAUGUUAACCUAGUGUACAUGGAAUACUUGGUGAAAAUGGAUAGGUAAGGAUUGGGUCGAAACAUGGAUCCUAUAGUGCUAAAGAAAAGAGAUAAACUCGAUGGUUAUUUAGUGACAUAGAGAGUGACAUCUAAAUGUUUAAAGAACAUAGAGAGUGGCAUUAUGUAGUGUAUUUGACACUAGAGGUUCAUAAACUUAGGGAUAGGUGGAUUCCCUAGAAAAUGACUCGUGAACAAUGAACUUAGUAAAGCUAAGUAACUAUGCAUGAAAGUCGAAAUAGGUGAGUUCUGAGAGAAAUGUUGGCCCUAGUUCGUAGGGUAUCCUCACGUGGAGAGGAUAGAUCAAGCUCAUGGUCUAUUAUUUGGGGUGGUAAAGCCAUCCAUAUCCUCACAUGGAGAGGAUUGGUCGUCAAGUACUCCGGAGUGUCGGGCGAUUAGGACAGAGUUGAUGUCCGCAGACAGUCCCGGGUUUGGGGCACAUGGAGCUCCCUACCCUAUGGGAUGGAUAUGUGAGAUGUAGGCAGACCCAAGGGUCUUGCCACAGACUAUUGGUAGAGUAGUAGCUUUCCCUUUUGCAUUAGCACACCUAUGUAUUUGAGAGAGAUUCAUGUAGGUGAGGACUUUGGAGAGCUAUGUACUUGAUGAAAAUAUGUAUUCAUUUUGAGGAAAAGAAUGUAAUUGUACACAAUUACAAAUGUGAUGUAAUAGCUAGUAGGUUCUCUCUUUAUUUCACUCGUGUAUCUUGUGGAUUACUUGCUCUUUGUUGUUGGCACUGUUUGUUCCCCGUUGAUUGUGUACUUAUAGAAUUUAAUAUCCUGGGUAAAUUCUUGUACUCGAUCUAUUGUUGAGCCUUGGGCGGACAAGGGAGGUGCUGUCCGUUCGGCGUCCAUUCGCCGCGCCCGAACCGUACCAAAUUGGUAGGAGUCUCGGGGUGGGGGUGUGACACAAUAGGAUGCCUGAUCACCUUUUUGGGCACCCAAAUUAUGGACCAGGCAGAUUGAGUGGGUGCUCGAAUCUAGAACAGGGCAUAGUUACGUGCAAUCCGAGCACCUAAAAGUUUAGGCGGGCGCCUGAGCCUAGUGUAUGGAGAGUGGUUUAGUUCUUUAUAAAUAAAAAAUGUUGGGAGGUUUAUAUGUUAUUGUAGUGUAAUGCCCCAUUUUUCUUUUUUUUUUUUAAUUUGAAAUUUAUUUUGUUAUUUGAUAGAGAAGGACUAUUUAGUUUAACUUAAAAAGUUUAGGGGUCUAGAUGCAAUUGUGCAACCCUAAUUAAUUAAGAGCAGUGCUAGAGGGUAGGGUUGUAAGAUGUACACCCCUUUUGGGUUGUACCAGUAGCAUUUUCCAUUAAUUAAAGGGUUAAUUACAUACAGCUCCCUGCAAACAUAACAAAUAGCAAAUAAAUCCCUACAAAGUUCAACUUUCAACUCUUAUUCCUACAAAAGUCUAGUGAUAAUCAUAUUUGUCCCUCUAGUUUUUUACUGUUAGAGAAUUGUUUAUUUUUUAACAGCAGAUAAGUGAAAUGUCAAUUUUGCCAUCACAAAUAUGCCCUUUCAAAAGCCCCAACUGUUAUAAUCGUUCAGAUAUGUCCCCUUAAAAAAUUUUCAAUGGUAAUCUUUGUCACGCCCCGCCCCGAAACCACUACCAAUUUGGCACGAUUCGGCCGCGACGACGGACCGCCGAACGGACAGCACCUCCCCUGUCCGCCUAAGGCUCAACAACAGGAAUGUGUACAAGAAUUUACCCAGGACUUUAAAUUCUAAACAUACACAUUCAACGAGGGCACAAACAGUGCCAACAACAAGAAGAGCAAGUAAUCCACAGGAUAUACGAGUGAAAUAAAGAGAGUACUUUACUAACUAUUACAAUAGUUGCAUUCUUUAUAUUUACAUCAUUUUCCAAAAUGAAUACAUUUGAUCCUCAAAAUACAUAGCUCUCCAACCUCACCUACAUGAAUCUCUCUCUAUACAUAGGUGUGCUAAUGCAAAAGGAAAGCUACUAUACUACCACGGCCUCACUGAUCGGGCGCGAUGCCCUUGCCGCGGUCCUCCCUCGACAAUCCUGAACCUACCACUGGAAAUAGAGUGGGGUGAGACUAUCUUCCAUAGUUCCUAGUGGGCUCGGCCGCCGACUCUGCCGAUCUCCCCACUAGGUCCAAGUGGGCACAAAUAACAACAGAUAGAUAGAUAGAUAUGUAUCUGAAAGCUGUAAAUGCGAUAGUAGGAAAAACUAUGCUACUAUGCCCAUAAUCAUAAGUAUGAAUGCAUGCAUCAUAUAAUAAAGGUUUGCUAUCGUGCUAACAAAUUCGAUCCAUGUUCGAAUAGCUAUGUUCAAUGACAUUUAUUAACCUUUAACCUUUCAUUUACCCAAUCUGUGGCGAGGCCCUAGGGCUCGCCCAUAACUCAUCUUUCAAUCCCAAAGUGGGGAGGGAGCUCCAAGUGCACCCAAGCCCGGGACCGUCUGCGGACCUCCAUGUGGUCCGGACCUCCAAGUGGUCCUAGUCGCGCGACACUCCGGAGUACUCGACGACAAUCCCCUCCAUGUGGGGAUCGGAUGGCUAUGCCACCCUAACGCAGACUGUGAGCUAGAUCUAUCCUCUCCAUGUGAGGAUACACUGUAACUAGGGUCAACACCCAAUCCAAUCCUCUCCAAGUGAGGAGGCUCUAUAACUAGAGUCAAUAACCCAAUCGAAUCCUCUCCAAGUGAGGACGCCCUACACUAGGGUCAACGACUAUUGCGGAAUCAUCGGUUCCCGACAUUAAUGCAAUGCUAUUUAGUUUUCUAAAUUUAUUGUUCAUAAGGCAUUUUCUAAGGAAUCCACCUAUCCCUAGGUCCAUCGACCUCUAGUGUUAUUUACACUACAUUAAUGCCACUCGUCAUCAUUUAUCAUUCGGAUGCCAAUCGUGUUCUUUAACACUAUCCACUACUUCCUAUAUCAUCAAUACCCCCAUCGGGUUCAUCUCUUUUCUUUCGCACCAUAGGAUUCACGUCUCGACCCAAUCCUCACCUAUCUAAAUUACCAAGCGUUCCAAGUACACUAGGUUAUCAAUUAGAAAGCAUAAGAAAUGGAGCUACUAUGCAAUCCUACAAUGCAACACGAAGAGAUGAGAUUAUAUGCAAUCUAAGACAUAGAAAGGAGUUCGAAAGUUUCAGAUGACACCCCCCACUUUUUAUCAACAUAGAGGCUCUAGAAACACUCCUCGGCGAGCUUUACGAAAAGGCUUUAGCCCUCUUUGGUCCAAGGUAACGCCGAAACGACCGUAAUUCGCCGAUUGCUCUAAGCCCGCUCGACGAAUCGCGAAAUCGACUUCGCCCCCGCGUUUGGGCACCUAUCGAUUAGGUUUACAAGGCCUCAAAUGAGAUCAAUCUCAUACUUUACAAAAUGCCCCCAUU